rnacentral:lncRNA from 1 species
GGUGGUGGCGGUGAGUGACAUUGGCUUGUAAUUUUGGGCUCUCUCCAGAGGUUACUUACCGGAUAACAUGGGCUGCGGUGGCUCCAAGGUCGAUGGCUUGCCGUUAGUCACGCUUUGCAGGGAGCGAAAUGACUUCAUCAAAAAAACGUUGGACCAGCGCUACACUCUUACCGCAGACCACCUCUCUCUCUGCUUUGUGUGUAUCGUUUCUCUCUCUAGAGAGUAGAGAGAUGGUGGAGUUUUGAGAGUUAUCCUGAUGUGGUGGAAGAACAAAGAACGUGCACUGAGGUUUUGAGAUCUUGGGUUUUUGUAGAUUCACGGUGGAGGUGAAAAAAUGAAAGAGAACCGACAUAGUUUUUCGUGUCGAUUCCCACAGACGGCGCCAAAUGUUGAUGCACAAAACCGGAGGUCUUGGAACAACGUAAAUCCGACCGUGAAUCUGUAAGAAAGUAAAUAACACAAGAUGUAUCGUGGUUCACCCCAAGGUUUGGGCUACGUCCACACUGAUUAUUGUAUUUCUCUGAGAGAUGAGGGGAGUGAGGGAGAGAGCUUCUGAGAGUGAGAGAACUCUUCCCAUGGCUUAAGAAAAUGGCAUCCUCUAAUUGUGAGGGUGAUGAGUCCUUUUAUAGAAUAAGGGCUCCUCACUUAUUAUAUUUGCCCCUUCUUUUAUUACAUAAUUACAUUUGAGUCACCCGAGUAUUUAUACGAGGUCUAAAUACGGAAGCCCUAAGUAUGGUAUAAACAACCUAGUAUACAAGUUUUGGAGAGAAUUUUUCAAUGUGCUCAAAACAUGGGAUAAUACAUCACGUGUCACUGUACAAGUAGUGAGAUAUUUGUGUAAUAACUCAAAAAAUAGAACUUUUCUCCACUUAUAUAAUAACACGUGGUGUACCACUCGUGAAAUUGGUACCAAGUGGAAUACCCUACAAUAAAAAUUUAGAAGCAACUAUACUAACUAGUCAGAUGAACUAUUCAACUAAGUACAGGUUGUUAGAUAUCCACAAGCAUAUAAACCAAGUAAACUGAUACUGUUAAAGCAAGACAAAUGAUCUCCAUUUAUUGUUGUAGCUUUUGUUCUUGAGUUAAGUUUACUUAGUUAACAAAGUGUUAAUACUAGCACACCCUACAAAGUUUAUCUCUAACAACGAUUAUUUGGACAUAAAGGUAACUUUGCAAAGUAUUGACACACAAGAAAGUUUUUGGCCAGAAAAAACCCACCUAUGGGUAGAAAACCGGGGACUCUUCACUGAGUCCAAUCCACUAGUGUAAACAAGGUUCAUACAAAGACCACACAAACUCUGUUGAUGCACAAAAUCGACGAGGACUUUGGUACAACAGAAAGUGUCAAGUUUGUGGCCUUCGCUAGGUUGCUCCGGUCACUAGUGUGGAUAAGUAUGUAAAUGGAUAAAGACAGGGAAGCAAACACAAGAUGUAUGUGGUUCACCCAGAUUGGUUACGUCCACAGAGUAGAAAAGCUCUCAUUAAUUGUGAAGGGUUUACAUAAGUACAUAGGUUCAAGCUCUCUUUUAGUGAGUACUAGUGAAUGAUUUAGUACUAAUGACAUUAUGAAAUAUUGUGGAAGAAUGAUCUCCUUUUAUAGAAGAGAGUUUCUAGCUUUGUUCUGACAUUGACACGUGUCGUGUUGUGAUUGGCUUCUGAUGUUGACACGUGUCGCGCUAUGAUUAGCUUCUGAUGUCGACACGUGUCGCGCUGUGAUUGGCCUCUUGGUUGGAGGGAAACUCUUCUGGGUCCUUGACGGUAUAACGUUGACCGGUGCUCGGUAGUUUCGGGAUUGGUCAAGUAUGGUACAAACAAACUUAAUUCUUAGAUCCCUAUCUAUAAAACAACUUUACCUUUGUGCAACCUUGCCUUACACGAGACAGAUUCAUUCGAUCUUCACAAAGUGUCAGCUUCUCCUGAGCUCAUCACUUUGUGGCUUCGAGAUCAACACGAUCAAUGAAAUGAUGUGAUGUUAUGAUGUGCUCAUGAAAUAAGGAUUCAAUGACUAGUCAGGUUCUAUAGUCAAACAGUUAAAGAAUAACCUAACAUGAAUCUGAAUGCUUAGUCUAAGAAAGAUAUGAAACAUUGAACAUUAGACUAAGAACUUAAUGCAAAACCAUGAAUACAAUGCAACCCUAAUAUGCAAUGAUUGGGUAUUUGUGCAUGAGAUGGUUUUGUGACUAAAGUUUCAGUUUGGAAGCUUAAGAAGUAGCUCUAGGCUAAAUGCAUUCUUUUAUUGAACAUGUGAAAAUCCUAACCAAAUAACAAAUAAGACCUUGGAAACCCUUUUAAUGGAAGCUGGAUGUUUUAAACUCGAGGGACAACGAGACACAUGUCAUAAGCCAAAGAGACCUUCCCAGAUCAAGGGUGAGAGAUCCAUGCACGGAAGGUGUCAGUUGGCCCAUAUGGGCUUUCUUAAUUUGCGUGCCAAACAGCUGCAAAACAAACGAAAAUUCUGACUAGACAACUACACUAGACGAAAGGAAUCUGGAAAAAUAAGUUUGACAUGCAUAUGCAAAUGUAUGUGUUGACCCUAAAAACUACCAAACCUACAUGGCAUGCAGGUCGAGUAAUCAAUAAGCUAACUACGACGUCAUUCGGUUGUGUGUAGGGAGUGCUAACUCGUCUGCCGAGCUCGGCCGGGGAGUAAAAUGUGUUGAUGUCGUGUUGGGCGCGCUGCUGACUUCUUGAUCUUGCAAUUGCGACCGAGGAAUGAACACGUCUUGGCCUUCGGGUUCUAGAGCCUGAAAACAAGGCUGCUAGUUCUACGAAGUUCAAUAUUAAAUUCAGCUUUUAAUGUGCCGAAUGUAGUAACUUGUAACAUCUCACUUCGUCGAGAAGGCUAAUGAGAUGACCUCUACCAAUAAGGACUCGAAAAUCCUUCUCUACCGAGACUUGGAUAGAUAACCAGUCGGCCUCGAUGUAGUACUAUUUAUCCAAACUGAAGGUGUUAUGCGGUCAGCAGAUUCUACGGUAACAGUGCUAUUUAUCCAAAUUGAAGAUGUUCACCGAUUGCCUUCACAUUGCUGUUUAUGAAGAUGUGUUGGCGGAAAAGGAAAAUAAAAAAUAUCAAGGUUAUUGAGAGGUUUCGCGUAGAGCGAGAGUUUGCACAGGGCAGUUUGUGUGUUGAAUUUGAGAGAGCCUCGAAUGAUGCACAAUGUUUUGUAUUUAUAGCAACGAACCUGCUUCUGGCCGAACUAGAGAUAUACUCGGAUUAGGACUCCUCAACCCAAUCCGAUUAAACUUCGACCAAUCCUAAUCUCAAUAGGAUUCUAAACCAAACCUUCAAACAAUCCAAGUUCAUCUCCUAAUCCCAAGUACUUUAGCUUUGAGACUCUUUAUUAUACCAGGAUUCGACUACUUCACCUUUAUUCAAAAUAAUCCUCUUUGUAGCAGGAUUCGGCCAACCUUGAUAGGACUGACCCAUGACAAGACUUUAAAUAAACACCAUUGGGCCGAGAAUUACUCUGGGCUCGGCCCAAAGUAACAUUUUGGAUCCAAACAGUAUGAUACAAACCCUUUUGUAGUGAAGAUGACCGGUGCUUUGACAGGAUCAAUCCCCAGUAGUAAUUCCAGAUUAGCAUUGCACUCUAACUCUAAACUAUGAACAUGUAUGGUAGCAAUUAUAAGAUUUAACAAGGGAAGCCAAACAAUAAACCUAAGACUUAACAACCCGUAUUCCAUGCACAAUAAAUCAAUUUCUCCUAGUUUUAGGGUAUAUUAAUAAAUAAAAAGUUUAUUUGAGUAGAAUGACAAUGCAUGCGACAUACUAAAAACGAGAAAAAUCGUAGACGAAGCCUUCCACGCGUUAAAUAUGCAUAUGAAUUUUCUUCUUCCUUGUGUGGGAACACAUGUACAUGAAAUCUGAUCAUAAAAGGUCACGUAAUUGGGGUUUAUUUUUCUAUUUAUCUUUAUUAAAAUCCAAUUUAAAGAAUUAUGAAUUCUUCUUAUUAAACUAGGUAGCGUUUAUUGGCAAUCUUUUUAUUUUUUUUUUUAAUUUUUAAUGAAUUAAAAUAGAUUCAAGUAUUUGUUUAAUUUUAUUAUAUAGGUAAUCUUAGGAAUGACACUUGGAUUUUUUCUAAAAAGACAAGAAUGCCUCAUUAAAUAGGCAUGACUUACAAAUAUUCCCUCGCGCAUGAGUUUAAUAUUGGAGGCUUGAGCAACAAAUUACGACACCACCAAACUUUCUGUCCUAGUAAGAGAGAAAAGUCAAAGGCAUUAAAUAUAAGAAUUGUAUCUUUAAUACUCUCUUAAUUGAAGACCAACCAACACAAGUGAGGAAUCCUCACCACACUCAAUCAUACUACCAUCAUCAUCCGAAGAUGUUAGCUCAUAAUUAAUAUCUUUGAGAUUAUUCUUUCCUUAUUCAUCUACGAAUAACUCACCUUGCUAAUGGAAAGCCGCCACGUGUAGGGCAAAAUCCUACAGCUAGAACCACCACCUUCCUAUAAAUACCCCAUGUCAACCAAUUUUUGGUAAGCUUUUGAUACGCAUACAAACCCAAAACACUAAUUCUUUUAAGAUAAACUGACUUACAUCGGAGGUCCAUUCCCAACCUCCCACCUUGUGGAUGCGUGAGGCUUUGGCCUUGAUCAAAUGUGUUACUUUGUUUCAUAGGUAUAAUUUUGUCGAGACCGAAGAUAACUGAAUUUUACUACCACAUGUCCAUCAUUAUAUAUAUAUUUUUUAUAUUUUAAUGUAAGUAACAUUAUUACUCUAAACAAUACAAUAAAAGGGAGUAAUUUAAAUUCAAAAUAUAUGUUAAAAAUAAAAACUUUAUUUACCAUGACAGUUACAAUUCCAAUUAAGGCACUAUAAUUUAUGUGGGGUUACAUUAAUCAAGUGGGUGGGAUAUUCUAAGGAUAUAUAAUAUUGAUGUAUUUGUCUUAAUUUACAUGUUUUUUCUUUCUAUUCUUUUGUAAAUUUGGAUCUAUUUGUACUAGUCGUUGCCCAAUGCUUCUGCAGCAGCCACUCUUGCACAAGUCGCCAAAACGUGUCACUAUAUAAUUCAGCGGGUCAUGUAAGCAAAUGAUACAUCAAUUGGAAGCUUUCGCUCUUCACAUGUCAUCCACUUAACACAUAUUAAUCCACACGUUGAUUGGUCAAAGCAGAUAAUUGGAUCUUAAAAUUGCUUUCCAAUCGGGUUCAGAUAAUAGCUGUUAGGAACUGACCAUUUCAAGAUAACGCAAUAUUUGGAACAUUAUUUGAGCAGCUCUAUUUUAAAGUGAACGAUAGCAAUUUUAUUAACGUGAAUGAAGGCAUCCUUGAUCACGUAAGGGCUCCUCAAAUUAACAAGAAUUAAAAUUAGGCUAAUUUGGCCAAUCUAUACUCCAUAACAUUGACGUUUUUACAAAUAUGACAUACACGGACAUCUCCGAAGUUCUGCAAAAGAGACUUGAUAUCCUCCACAAUCAAACCCAAUGGAGUAGAACACAUCUGCAUGCUGCCCAGGUUCUGAAGUUGAAUAACUUGAAGAGCAUCAUUCUCAAGGACCACUUACGGAAACUUACUGCCAAAAGAUUGCUGCGCAGCAUCAGGAGCUGCGAGAAACUCAGCAGUCGAAGGGCUAGUCACAUCCGGUAUUUUACGAACGAAACUUCUAGCAUAGUUACCGGCUUCGUCGGAAAAAACCAUACAACUCUCCCAAAAUUAGUUUUAGAACAAAAUGAUCCGUCCACAUUGAUCCUUUUCGUUUAUUUUAUGAGAGAUUUUAUUUUCUAUUGCUAUAGCGAGCAACUUUCAAUGAAUUUGGAGCAUGAUCACAAUGCAUUAUAUCUACAUAGAUUUGUUUUUCAUAAAUCUACGUCGACAGAAGAGGACAUAUAAAAAAUAAUACGUAGAACAAUACAUCAUGUAAUUUACUGUUUAUCUACAAUAAUUUAUCCAAACCAAUCCAGUACCAUCCAUUACACACAAAUAUAUGUGUAGUAGGUUGCUUUCACUUUAAUAUUCAAUUUCUUAUAUUCAUGGUUGUUGGAGGGACAAGGAAAUGGAUGGAUAUGUUUGUACAAACUUUUUGGCCCUAUUGUAAUGUGAUUAAUUAAUUUCUGUCCAAUUUGUCGAAUAUAUGCUCUUGUUAUAUUUAUGGAGCCCAUGCAUGUUAGUAUUUAUCCUAAAUCCUAAUAGUUUUUAUUUUAUUGGAUCUCAACAAAACUCUGAAGUUAAACGAGUUUAUGUGAAAGUAAAUACUGAAAUAGGUGAUCUCUUAGGUCAUCGUGUUGCAAUCUUCACCCUAAACCCUAAUAGUUGGAGCAUGUAAAAUGGAAAGGAGGACUGUCUCUUUUUUUAAAAAUUUUUUUUUGGGUAAGGGUUAAAAGAACAUAGUGCUUAACUCCUUAGGGCCAAUGCUGGACCACCAUCCCCCUAAUGACGAUUCACAAAUGACAAUUCCAAUGAAACAAGACACAAUGCAUGCUACAAUUUUCUUAUGAAAUGGCACAAGCUAAUUGGUCAAUAACCUUAGUGAACAAUAAUAUAUGAAGAGAUUUUUUUAGUGUGUUUGGAAUAAGGACACAUACAUUAAAUUUUAUUAUACAAGUAGAGAGAUCCAUCAUAUAUAUAUAUAUAUAUUGUGUGUGGAUAUACAUAUAUACUGAUUGAAGACUUGAAAUGAUAUGGUCCUAUCCUAUUGGAUGAAUGAACUGAUGAAAGUGAUUUUGUGACGGCAAUUUUUUUUAGUUUUUUGCUUACCAAAACGGUGUCUUCUUUCACGGGCUCGACGGCUUCUUUUGCCUCUUUCCCAAUUCAUGCGUGCAUGUAAUACUAAUCACAUGUUAUACAUAUUCUGAGCCGGCCACCUGCUGCCCGUGCUACGUUUACGUACCAUUUUGGUUUUUGGUGGGUAAAUAUUCCAUCUGCACGGCCACCUUAAUUAACACACGCGUCCAUAGAUACAGACGAAGUUGAAAAUAUUAAAUUAUUCCUAAUUUUUUUUUGUAACGGAUCAUAGUAGAUUGUAUGCACUCAAACAAAACAAUGUUACGUCACUACAAUUGAACUAUCUGAAAUUAAGUAUUUGUAAAAUAUCAAUCUAAUUCUUAUGUUGAAGGGUGAGAUGACGAUUGAUAUGAUUCACUUGAAGUUCCUCAAUGAUCUUGAGGCUCCUUGUGUAAUUUCAUCGUUACGAUAAUCAUGCAAUGGAGCGGUGCACGCAGUGGUCUCUUUCAUUACUAAACAUAGGGGACAUUUUUGUUGGGACCAAAUAGCAAACUACAAAGCAUGCAGCAGACACGAAACGAGUCCGACAGACUUCAACAAUUUCAUCUAUGAGAGCUGGUUAAAUUUCAGUUAACCAAUUGAUCUGUCAUAAUAUUAUUCUCUCUGUAAAUGUGUUUCAACUCACAUCUCCUUAGUUGUCUCAUAAUUAAUCUGCAACUAUGCAUAAUUAUCUAAAAAAGAUGGAAAUUGUCAACUUAGAUUUGUUUCAACAACAUAACAAUAGCCAUGGAGUCCAUCUUUUUAUUUUAUUUUUUUUUUCGGAGAAAAGGUGGCAUCCAACUCAGUUCUUCUUGAUAGGCCAUUUCCCAAAUACUAUCAAUAUUAUUACCAUAUAUGUCGACGUGGAUAGAUGUAUCAAUAUUUGAUUUACCUUUUUUAUUUACCAUUCCAUAUUCCUUAAUUAAUUAUGAAUUGCUUUGGUUAAUUCCCUCUAUAUGACUCCCUAGAUUUACCAAAAUAUAUUCUAAAAUAAACUAUUCAAGAUCCUUUACUCCUUUUGGUUUAAACUUUAAAAAAUACAAGUGUUUCAUGGCACUUGGAACAAAAGUUUUUUUUUCCUCUUUUAUUUUGAAUUGACAAAGAAAAGGGUAAAUGAAUACUUAGGAAGAUUUGGAAAGAGAUUCCAAAAAAAUAUAGAGCAUUUGUAGCUAAUGAAAAACUUGAAAUAAAAUCGAACACAAUAACAUUAUAAAAUUCAUAUAACUGAUCUCACUUAAUGAGACGAACCCUUUUGUUGUUGUUUGUUGUAUUUUGAGUUGACGAAGAAAAAGCUUUUGUUUUUGGUCUUUGAACCAGACAAAAGUGCCAAACGUUUUAAAAGUACAAAAACAAUACAAAAAAACAUUUGAAGCAAAUAAAAAGACAAGAAAAGGUGCAUCAUGUGAUGUUAGUGCUUUGGUGUAAGAGUGUUUGACCCGCCGCGCCCAUCCCGUUUGAUUUCCCUAAUUUUAAAUUUAAAAAAAAUAAUUCCUUAAUUUUAAUUUGUAUUUGUCUUAAAUUUGUUUCCAACCAAUUAAGAAAAACCAUGAAAAAUUAAACCGAUAAAAAAAGAAAGUUACUCUGAAAUAAAAAAAAUGAACUUUAACAAAAAGCAUCUGGUACUGUUUACUUUAACGAAAAAUCACAUUUUUACACUAAAAAGUCAAUCAUGUACUAUUCACUUUACUCUUUAUUUUGUCCUUAUCAUUAAAACUCAAAGUUUUCAAGAUCUUUUCAUUAGUUUUCCUAUAAAAAAAACCCUAAUUUUCCAGUAAUCUCCUUGAAACACUUUUCCAGUUUCCCCUCUCUCUCCUCCUCCCUCUGAUUAAUGAAUUAGUCAUCCGCUAAUUAAUCAUUACAUCAGAAGAUUAAUGCAAAUCAUUUCGAGGACUUUUCUAAUCAAGUUCCAGAGAGAGAGAGAGAGGGACUAGAAGGAGAAGACCAUUUCACGCAUAAAACAGUCACCACCAUUGACGAGGAGCUCCCCCCUUAACUUUCCCGCGAAACUGAACUUACCCGGAAAAUUCCAAUUCGGUAAAUCCAUUUCAAACAUUCCUCCCUAUUCUUCGUUUUGUUUUUUUCUGGGCAAGCAGCUGAGUCUUUGGAAUCAAUUUUCAAAUUUAAAAAAAAAGAAAAGAAAAACCGAAGGCAAAUGCGCGUCCUUGACAUUAGUCAAAAUGCGAGAUCCGAACCAAGUCUCCGUUCAAAGCUGCAAUUUUUAGAGAAAAUUCAAAUACCCGAAUAUUGUUCAUAUAAAACCAAUCUUUCCCAACCCUUAUUUCUGAAUAUUUGUGGGUUUGGAUUUGUUGGUUUCUUCUGUUGAGAGAAAAAGUUUACAACUUUGGGUGUGCAGAUUAGAGAGCUGGGUGUGCAGAAGGGGAAAAAGCAGGGUGCUUAUAAGUAAGCCUUUUCUGGUUUUGUUUUUUUACCUUUCAGGUUGUAAAAAUUCUUUGUUUUUAUUUGUUCUUUUUCUCUGUUGGAUACCGAAUUUGUUUAUUUUUUGUGUACUGGGGUUCUGAGCUUUCUGCCUGAGAAAGUUUUAUUUAUUUUCUGGGAUUUUCCCCCACUUUUGGGUCUCUGUGUUUAAUAUUUGUGAAUUUUUGGGGGGUUGUGGAACUGGGUUCUUGCUGUGGGUGUCUUUUUUUUAAGAAAGAAGCUGUUUUUUUUUUUUCACUGAGGAAUUGCUUUUCAAGAAGCAGCUGCAGAAGUUGUUACCUCUUAUUUUCACUAGGAUACAUAUUCAAAACUGCUUUUGGAUUUUAUUCCAUUUGAAGAAGUUGCAUUAAUUAGUGAGGGUUUGGAAUUCAAAAGCAGCUUUUUAGCCUUGUAAGUUGGGUUUGUGUUGGUUGGAGCUUGUGGUAGAGUGAGAGGGAAUUAGAGAGAGAAAAUGAGGGGUGGAGGCAGAAGGAGAAAGCUGCAUUUCAGCAAGAUCUAUUCUUUCACUUGUGGUAAAUCUUCUAUGAGAGAUGAACAUUCACAAAUCGGGGGACCAGGAUUUUCCAGAGUGGUUUACUGCAACGAACCGGAAUCUUUCGAGGCUCAGAUGCAAAAUUACGGAGACAAUUAUGUUAGAAGUACAAAGUAUACACUCGCUACUUUCUUGCCAAAAUCUUUGUUUGAGCAGUUCAGAAGGGUGGCCAACUUCUACUUCUUAGUCACUGGCAUUUUGUCCUUCACAGCUCUGGCUCCAUAUAGCGCUGUCAGCGCGAUCAUCCCUCUUAUUAUUGUGAUUAGCGCGACCAUGGUGAAAGAGGGUAUCGAAGAUUGGCAUCGAAAACAACAGGUACUGGUUUUUCUUUCUUCAGCCUGGCUCUAUAUUUUGGUUGUUUUUCUUUCCUUGUCCCUUAAAAUUUCACUGACUUAAAUUAGUAGUUGAGGAUUUUUAACUGUUGAAUUUUACUAUAACUAUCUUGGGAGUUAGAAUUGAUGAGGAAAUUUAUUGAAUGAAAGUUUUCCGAGGCUUGGAGGAUAAUCAAACUAGAUUUUUUUACUUCCUUGAAGAUAUACUCGAUCUGAAUUAGUUGACUGUGCCAUGUAUCUUACCUGCUUUAUAGUUUACAUAUCAUUUUCUGGUUCUGGUAUACUGUCAACCGCGGCUAUAUAAUCUCACAAGUGCGAUGAUUUUCCAGGAUAUUGAGGUGAACAAUCGAAAGGUUAAAGUACGUGAUGGUAAUGGGGCUUUCAAUUAUACUGCGUGGAGAAAUCUGAGAGUGGGAGAUAUAGUGAAGGUAGAAAAGGACGAAUUCUUUCCGACAGACCUCCUCUUGCUCUCAUCCAGUUUUGACGAUGCAAUUUGCUAUGUUGAGACCAUGAACCUUGAUGGGGAGACAAAUUUAAAGUUAAAACAAGGGUUGGAAGUAACUUUAUCCUUGCGGGAGGAUUCUAACUUCAACGAUUUUAACGCCAUUGUUAAAUGUGAAGACCCGAAUGCAAAUUUGUACUCAUUUGUUGGAACUAUGGAGUUCGACAAUGAACAAUUUCCCGUCUCUCCUCAACAGCUUCUCCUGAGAGACUCUAAACUCAGAAAUACAGACUACGUAUAUGGAGCUGUUAUCUUCACUGGUCCUGACACAAAGGUUAUUCAAAAUUCUACCGCCCCUCCUUCAAAAAGAAGCAGAGUUGAGAAGAAGAUGGAUAAAAUUAUCUACUUCUUGUUCUGUGUUAUAUUUUUAAUGGCAUUUGUUGGGUCCAUUUUCUUUGGGAUUGCAACGAAAGAUGACCUAAACAAAGGGAUCAUGAAAAGGUGGUAUCUCAGGCCAGAUAAUUCUAGAAUUUUCUUUGAUGCUAAAAGAGCUCCGUAUGCAGCAAUUUACCACUUUUUGACUGCCCUAAUGUUGUAUGGCAACUUUAUCCCCAUCUCCUUGUAUGUGUCCAUAGAAAUUGUCAAAGUUCUUCAGAGCAUCUUCAUCAAUCGAGAUGUUCACAUGUACUAUGAGGAGGCUGACAAACCAGCACACGCCCGUACCUCAAACUUGAACGAGGAACUUGGCCAAGUCGACACAAUUCUCUCUGAUAAGACGGGAACUUUGACCUGCAAUUCAAUGGAGUUCAUUAAGUGUUCUGUGGCCGGGACAGCUUAUGGCCGCGGCUUUACUGAAGUUGAGAGGGCUAUGGGUCGACGAAAUGGUUCACCAUUGGUUCAUCAACUAAGUGGAGGGGACAAUCUCAAGGACUCUACUGAAACAAAGGCACCCAUCAAAGGCUUUAAUUUUAAAGACAAAAGGGUCAUGAAUGGAAACUGGGUUAAUGAGCCUAAUGCAGAAUACAUCCAGAAGUUUUUCAGUUUAUUAGCAAUCUGUCAUACAGCAAUUCCGGAAGUUGAUAAAGCUACUGGGAAUGUUUCAUAUGAGGCUGAAUCUCCUGAUGAAGCAGCAUUUGUGAUUGCAGCAAGAGAACUUGGUUUUGAAUUCUACAAAAGAACGCAAACAACCAUAUCACUGCGAGAGUUGGAUCCAGUGUCUGGCAAGAAAGUUGAGAGGUUCGUAUAUUGCAUUGUUUUUCUGAUUAUUAGGACUUUUAUAUCUGUGCUGGUACUCUUAGUAAGUACUGUAGAGAGUAUACUCAUUGAGUGAUGUCGUUUUUGCAGGACGUAUAGCCUUCUCAAUGUUUUAGAGUUUAACAGCACAAGGAAGCGAAUGUCUGUGAUUGUCAGAAGUGAGGAAGGAAAAAUAUUAUUACUUUCCAAAGGUGCCGACAAGUAAGUGCUUGCUGCCUUAAACUUGAAUCUCUUCUUACUUCUUACUGCAAAUUUAAAACUGUUCUUCUAACCAGCAUAACUUCUUUUCUGUUCAGUGUUAUGCUUGAAAGGCUUGCCAAAAAUGGUUCGGGUUUUGAAGAAGAGACCAUGGAUCAUCUAAAUGAGUAUGCUGAUGCAGGGCUGAGGACCUUGAUACUUGCCUAUCGUGUACUUGAGGAAGACGAAUACAAAGAGUUCAAUCAAAAUUUUAUCAAGGCCAAGAAUUCAAUUAGUGCAGAUCGUGAAACAGUGAUCGAUGAAGUAACAGAAAAGAUUGAGAGAGAUCUAAUUCUUCUUGGUGCAACUGCUGUUGAGGACAAACUACAAAAUGGGGUAUGUAGUCAUAUAUUGAUGGGGUAACAUGGAAGUUUCUUUAUAGACGAUAUCAGAUUUUGAAUUAAUGUUCUUUCUUUCUUUUUUGGUUAGGUUCCUGACUGCAUUGACAAGCUUGCCCAAGCAGGAAUUAAGAUUUGGGUUUUGACUGGAGAUAAGAUGGAGACUGCCAUCAAUAUUGGGUUUGCAUGUAGCUUGCUUAGACAAGGAAUGAAGCAAAUUGUAAUCACUUUGGAGUCUCCGGAGAUUAAAGCGUUGGAAAAGGCAGGAGAAAAGGAGGCCAUCGCCAAGGUAAAACUAUAUGCAUAUAGUUGAAUUUGUUUGUGUAUUGAAAACGGAAUCUGUAGCUUAAUACUCAAGGAAGUAAAACAGUUUACUUCAACAAUAUAAUAGUACCUUAGUAAUGAUGCUGAUACAAUAUUUGCUGAUUCAUCAUUAGGCAUCAAAAGGAAGUGUUCUCGAUCAGAUAAAUAGGGGAAAGGCUCAGCUUAUAGCAUCGAGCGGGAACUCUGAGGCAUUUGCAUUGAUCAUUGAUGGAAAAUCGCUUGCUUACGCUUUGGAGGAUGAUACAAAGAAUUUGUUUUUAAAUCUUGCAAUUGGCUGUGCAUCUGUUAUUUGCUGCCGUUCAUCACCUAAACAGAAGGCACUGGUAUGUUUACAAAUUAUAACAUAAGGAUUUUUUUCUUUUUCAUUUUUGUUCUUACAUCAUGCUCAGAAAAGAAUUAAUUUGUUUUCAAUGGUGAAAUGUAAAAUAGGUCACUAGACUGGUAAAAUCUGGAACUGGGAAAACAACACUAGCAAUCGGUGAUGGAGCCAAUGACGUGGGCAUGCUCCAAGAAGCAGAUAUCGGGGUUGGAAUUAGUGGUGUUGAAGGAAUGCAGGUAUUGUACAGAUUCUUCCACUUGUUUUACCGAAAUUAAUUAUUGUUUCACUGUAUUUUCCUCUAAACUUUUAUUCUCAUGAACUUAUCAUGCUUAUUUUUUCACAGGCGGUCAUGUCAAGUGAUAUUGCGAUUGCACAAUUUCGAUACUUGGAGCGUCUCCUGCUUGUGCACGGGCAUUGGUGUUACAGGAGGAUCUCAUCAAUGGUAUGCAUGUCAUAUACUAUGAAACAAACUUGAGACUUCAGAAUCUUCGACAAUGUGGCAAAAAAAAUUUAAAUUAUCACAGGCUAAAACUCGUGUGUGCAAAUUUCUCCUUGCAGAUUUGCUACUUCUUCUACAAGAACAUCGCAUUUGGUUUCACUCUCUUCUUAUAUGAGGCAAACACAUCCUUCUCUGGACAGCCUGCAUACAACGACUGGUUUUUGUCUCUUUAUAACGUAUUCUUCUCAUCACUUCCGGUGGUUGCUAUGGGAGUUCUCGACCAGGAUGUAUCUGCGCGGUUUUAUCUCAAGGUAAGCUCACUGGGUUACAUGUGAAAUUCCGUUCGGAUUAACAUGCUUAAUUUCAAGCCUUGUUUUGAAACUUUUGGCAUUAAUUGUUUAUCCUGUUUUGUGUGGCAGUUUCCUCUAUUAUACCAAGAAGGGGUGCAAAAUGUUCUCUUCAGCUGGCGUAGAAUAUUCGGAUGGAUGUUGAAUGGGUUUACAACUGCCGUGAUUAUUUUCUUCUUCUGCACGGAAGCGCUAAAUCAGCAGGCCUUCAACAAUGAGGGCAAAACUGCCGGAAGGGAUAUUCUCGGGGCAACGAUGUACACGUGCACAGUUUGGGUUGUGAACUUGCAGAUGGCACUUGCCAUCAGUUACUUCACCUUAAUACAGCACCUCUUCAUCUGGGGUUCAAUUGCACUAUGGUACCUCUUCCUCUUGGCGUACGGCGCCAUGUCACCCUCAGUCUCCACCACUGCCUACAAAAUCUUCAUUGAAGCCCUGGCCCCCGCCCCUUCGUUCUGGCUCCUCACAAUCUUCGUGCCAAUCGCCGCUCUAAUCCCAUACUUCACAUGCUCAGCCGUUCAAAUGCGGUUCUUCCCAAUGUACCAUAGAAUGAUACAGUGGAUACGCUACGAGGGCACAUCAAAUGAUCCCGAAUUUUGUGACAUGGUGCGGCAGAGAUCUUUGCGGCCGCAGACUGUUGGUUUCACGGCGCGAUUAGCAGCGAGGGCCAACCGUGUAAAAGACAGACAUCGUAACCGUAGAUAAGCUUUGUAAGUUUGUUCUUUGGUAUAGUAGGUCUCAAAGGAUACAGCUUCAGUCUCUCCCAAGUUUAGAAAAACGCUGCGUUUUGUACAUCGAUGGGUUGCACAUAUGUUAUACAACAAGAUUUUUUGGUUCAAUUUGUUCCUAGGAGUGGGCCCCUGUAGCCAGAUGACUCUGUACAGAAGCAGUUUUCAGCUCCGUUAGAAUUAGAGAUUGUAAAUUUUGAGUCAUUGGCCAAUGUAUGUGAUACAUAGUGAAAUAAUAUAUUGCAGGGUUCAGUACUUGUGUUUUCUUCUUGAAUUUCUGUUCUUUUUCUCGUGAGUUCUCCCUUUUCCUUUUCGCGAUAACAAAAAUGAAACCUAAAAACUGAAACGAAAUGGUUAUGAAACGAGGUAUUAAUUAUUUAACAACAAAUUGUUUGUGAAUCGAAGACUUACUGAUGUUCUGGUUAGACUAUGAGAUUAUGAGAUAGAAGCUUAUGGUAAAAGAGGUAGAGGAAGACCCUAAUUUCUACGAGAGCAUCUCAUUAUUGUGAAAAAAAAACACAAUAAAUCAUAAAAUUAAAGAGGAGGGCUUGAUCAUAACUAUAUUUGAUAAUUAAUUCGUAACUCUUUAAUUUACAUGAACAUCCUUUAUAUUUCUGCUAACUAUUAAUUGGCGUUGGACCUCUUAUUACUCGUAACGUGUGAUAUUCUUUUUGUUUGCUAAAAAGAAAGUGAUUCACUAUAUAUGCAUGGUGUGUGUGAGUUAGUUAAGAGCUAAUAGGUGUGUAAACACGAAUAUUCUGUAGCGAAUGAAACGAGAACACGUGUACAAAGUAGAUUCGUAAGGCUACAAUCUUUGCUUACAAUUUUCCUCUGAUUCAGUCUUCAAAUGUGAUGUAGAUGCGUAAGUUGUUGAUCCAAGGGUCGUGAUGACUUGAUCUCGGACGAAAUAUUGAACGAUUGCUUUAAGUUUUGAGCUUGAAACGAUGCGUAGAUGAUCUUCACCUCAAGGUGCGGCAAAGAUGGUGUUGAUGCGGGAUUUUGUUGAUUCAAGGGUUUUGACGACUUGAUCUUGAAUCAAACGUUGUUACAAGUUUUGAGCUUGUAACAAAGUCUUGAAGGAAUCGGCACAAGUGCUUAUUGAUUCUUCAAGUGAAUGCUUCGGCUUUGGUUGUACGUUCUUCGAAAAGAGCUUUGGUAGCGUAUUAGUCUUCAAGGAUUUGUGCAGAGGUUCUUCUGGAUGUAGGAGUUUCGACCCUUAUGUUGUCUUGGCUCCUUGUAUUUAUAAACUUCCAAAGCCAUGCGUUUGGGUGGAUUUGGCUUUGAUUUGUGUCUUGAUUCGUCCAUAGGAGAAUUUAGGCAUGUUUUGUGUCCAGUUUCAGCCACUUUACCCUAUCUUGGCUGAAUUCUAGAGGGCUUGUUACCUAUUUUGUAAGCAAUCUUCACUUCUUGCUUGUUUUAUGAAGAUGGUUUAGCUUUCUUUCCGGUUUUGGGAGUAAUUUGGACCCCUUGCCGAUUUUGAAGGAGAUUUCCUCCCCUUUGCCGAAUUUUGGGAAGUUUUUGUGCUUCCUUUGCUUGAUUUGUGCCACAUGUCAUUGAUGACUUGUCCAUUUGUGAUGAGUCAUAUGUCAUAUGGAGUUUUGUGAUGCAUUAUUUGUAUACAACAAAAUUAACAUGUCUACAAGGUGAAUUUAUAUAGAAGAGCAUUUAUAUACCUGCUGCUUGAUGUGGAAUUUUGCUUUCUUUUUUUUUUUUUAGCAAUAACAUGUACAAUCUUGGAUUUUAUUACAACGAAAGUAGAUCAAGUUUCAGAGUGAAAUUUAUCAUUGAUUUUAUAGUUUUAUUGGUGUGAAUUAUCCUGCACUCACACCAUGAUGUCUUUGCUAAUGAGUAGUCUACAAGGUCCUUUCGUCCGAAAGAGCUUCAGAAGCUAGGCAGUUACAGCAUUCGUUGAGUACUUCCAUGUGCCUCCUUGUGCUGGGAUUUUGUUAGGCUCGUAUCCCAGGUGUGUAUUUUAUCUUCAUAUGUUUCAUAGUUUUAUUUAGUUUUGAUAUAUAAUCAACUAGAAACACAUUCAGUUGGACGAAUUCCGCAUUGUGACAUACAUGACAUUGGAUUUCACUGGUUGGACACUGUAAAAUUUUGAGUGAAAAUCAAUUAGGGGAACUAUAUACUGGUAGAGAUGUGCAUAUUAAUCCUGCCUAAAGUAAAAUUUAGAAAUCUGGCAUGGUGAAAAUCCAAUAGAGAAUAUGAGAAACCCAACUUAAUUUUAAGAAUUUGUUUUGGUGCCUACUGUGAAUGUAACUAUAUCUAUGAAAUUGUAUACAGAAAUUCUAGAGAGAGAUAACAAUUCAGAGAGAAGAGAGAGAGAAUGAAUGUUCUUGAUAUAUUUCUUAAUCACCAAGUAAUACAAGAGGUUGAGAUAUUUAUACACUUCUAACAACAAGGCUAACUGCCUUAACUAACACAUCUUCUAAUCUAAUUACACAUGUCAUCAUCCUAUACAUCAAUUUCUAUAUUCUAUCACCCUCCCGCAAACUCAGGCUGGGAGGCACGAAGCAUGAGAUUGGAAUAGUGAAUAUGAAAUAAAGGAGAACUCAAGCCUUUAGUCAGAAUGUCAGCAAACUGCUAUUUGGAUGACAAAAACUGCACAGAGAGGUGCUUUUUUUGCCACUCGUUCCCGCACAAAAUGAACAUCAAUCUCAAUGUGUUUAGUGCGUUGAUGUUGAAAGGGAUUAAAAGACAAAGCAAUGGCAGACAGAUUAUCACAAAACAACACAGGUGGAGAGAAUAAAGGAACCUGCAAGAAGACUAAGAGUUGCUGGAUCCAGUCCAAUUCUGCAGAUGUGGAUGACAGGGCACGAUAUUCAGCCUCUGUAGAAGACCGGGAUACUAUCAGUUGCUUCUUGGAUGACCAGGAAAUAGGACUAUUCCCUAAAAACAUAACCAAGCCAGUAAUCGACUGUCGGUCAUUAGGAUCCCCUGCCCAGUCAGCAUCACUGAAGGCCUUUAAUUGAAGCGAGCCUCGAGAAUAACCGAUGCCAUGACUAAGGGUUCCUUUUAAGUACCGCAAGAUUCGUUUGACUGCUGUAAAGUGAGCAACCAUAGGGGAUUGCAUGAACUGAGCCACUUGAUGGAUAGAGAAUGCUAUAUCCGGCCUUGUAAACGUAAGGUACUGCAAAGCACCUACCACACUUCUGUACAAAGUAGGAUUGGUAUAUGGAUCACCAUCAUCCUUGAGAAGCCUGUUAUACGGCAAACAAGGAGUGUCACAAGGUUUGGCAUCGAGCAUCUCUGUUUUGGUGAGAAGAUCCAACACAUAUUUCGAUUGAGACAAGAAUAAACCAGUGGGAGUCCGUGAAAUUUGAAUGCCAAGGAAAUAAUGCAAAUCCCCUAAAUCCUUGAUGUCAAACUCAGUGUGUAAAACAGUAAUAACCUGUUGUAUGGAUGUAGAUGCACUCCCUGUGAUGAUAAUAUCAUCCACAUAGAGUAGAAGAAUGACAAUCCCAGAAUCAACCGUUUUGACAAACAAAGAGGAAUCCGAAUAGGUGGUUUGAAACCCCAAAUGAGGCAGGAAUUUGGUGAAUCUAUCAUUCCAAGCUCGGGGAGCUUGCUUGAGUCCAUAUAGGGAUUUCUGCAGUUUGCAAACUAGGUGAGGAUGAUGAACAUCUUCAAACCCAGAAGGCUGAGCCAUGUACACUUCGUCUUCUAAAAUGCCAUGUAAAAAAGCAUUUUUGACAUCGAGUUGUCGAAGGGACCAACCAAACUGAGCUGCAAGAGCUAAUACUAAUCGAACAGUGGUAGGUUUAACCACAGGACUGAACGUUUCCCCAUAGUCAAUUCUAGGUUCUUGACUGAACCCUUUAGCUACUAAUCUAGCUUUAUGUCGGGCAAUAGUACCAUCAGAAUGUCUCUUGAUCUUGAAUAUCCACUUGCACCCCACCAAAUUCUUUGAGGAAGGUAAGACCACCAGAUUCCAGGUACCUUGUGUAUGCAAAGCACUGAUUUCCUCUUGCAUAGCCUUAAACCAAAUCGGAUUCUUCAAGGCAGAUUGUAGGAAGUUGGUUCAAUAAGAGACAAAUCAGUACCCUCAGACUCCUGAACAAUAGCUAAUAAAGCUCUUUUCUUGAUAAUUCCACUCUUGCUCCGAGUUUGCAUAGGAUGUAAAUCGAUUGGUGGAACCUCCAGUACCACUGACAAAGUAUCAGGAUGAAAUUGUACUUCUGGAACUUGAGACUGAGGAGAACCAUUGACAAGUGCCACAAGAGGUUGAGAAGUAGUAGAGGCAGUAAUGGACUGAGAGGAUAGUGGUGAUGAUGAAAUCGGAGAUAGUGAUAUGGUAGGAGAACCAGGCAAAUUGGAGGAGGUAGGAUGUGAUUGUGAUGUUAUGGGGACAUGAGGCAUAGAGACCACAACAUUAUCAGUGGAAACAACAGGUACUGGACUGUGGGUGGUAGAACUAAGGUGGGAUGAGGUAUGAUGGACCAACAAGUCUGUGUAUAGGAAUUGAGACUCAUCAAACACUACAUGCCGUGAUAUGUAUAGUCUUUGUUUAGAAACCUCAUAACAUAUAUACCCUUUAUAGUUGGUAGCAUACCCCAGGAAAAUACACUUGGUGGUUUUUGGUUGCAGCUUAGAGUCAUUAUAAGGCCUUAAUAACGGAUAACAAGCACAACUAAAUGAUCUAAGAUGGGAAAUGACAGGGAGAAGCCCAAACAAUAGUUCAAAUGGAGAAUGAUUGCCUAGGACAGGAGUGGGCAUUCUAUUUAUGAGGUAGAUGGCUGUUUGACAAGCAUAGGACCAAAACAGGGCAAGUAAUCUAGCAGUUUGUAAAAGGGUCACAGUUGUUUCAAUGAUAUGCCUAUGCUUUCUCUCAGCGAGGCCAUUUUGCUCAGGAGUAUAUGGAUAUGAUUUAUGAUGUGUAAUGCCUUUUUCAAGAAGAAAUGACUGAAAUGCUUUACUAACAUACUCUCCCCCUCCAUCACUUUGAAGAGUUUGAAUAGGAGUUGCAAACUGAGUAAUAACAAAGGAAUAGAAUGCAACAAAUUUGGCAAAGACAUCAGAUUUAUUUAUUAAUGGGAAAAUCCAGCAGUAUCGUGUACACUCAUCAAUAAAGGUCACAUAAUACUUGUAACCAUCAAUAGAAACAGAAGGGGCUGGACCCCAAAGGUCACUAUGAACUAUAGCAAAGGGUAUUACAGACUUAUUGGGACUUAGAGGAAAAGGAAGUUUACAAAACUUUCCCUCCAAACAACUAGAACACAGGACAGGUAAGGAUAGUUUGGGACAGGGAAUAUGAGCUUGUUUUAACAUCAAAGAAACAAUAGAAUUGGAUGGAUGACCUAGUCUAUUGUGCCAAGUAGUAGAGUGAAUGUGCUGACCGAGAAGAGCUUUAGCUUGGAACGGUACUGAGGUGGAUCCAUGAGAAGUGGUUGAAAGACAGGGAAUUGGGUAUAGACCAUUACUGCAUACUCCUUUGUAAAUGAUCCUCCUUGUGGCCUUGUCCUGAAUCCAAAAGCAAAAAGCAUCAAAAAUUAGCCAGCAAUUGUUAUCCAAACAGAUCCGAUGCACAGAUAAUAAGUUUUGGGUUAACUUCGGAACAUAUAACACAGAAUUGAGCUUCAUUGGAGGAACAGAAUUAACGUUGGAAAGAUUAAGAACAGUACUGCCAAUAUGAGAUACAGGCAAACCUUCACCAUUGGCAGUUUGGACAAUCUCAGAAGUAGGAUAUGGAGAUGCCAGAGAUAAGUUGCUGAGAUCAGAAGUCAUGUGAUUGGUAGCACCAGAGUCAGUGAGCCACACUUGAGGAUUAAAGUGAGAAUGAGAUGCCACGGAAGGAGACUGAGGCAUCACAGUAUGCAUAGCUUGAGGAGAGAAUUGGUGUCCAUUCAUGGCAGAGUGCUGACUAGAAACAUUGUAACCGGGAGCACCAAAGUUUGAGGAAUGCAGCUGAGACGGAUAAAACUGACUGGGAGCACCAACAAAAUUAGGGCCUUUGUCAUUAUAAAAACAAUACCAUGUGGUGUGAUUGUGCUUGCCACAAAUUUGACAAUUAACUCUGUCAGAAGGUUUAGAACGGCAGAAUGGUGCGGUGUGUCCUUCAGCAUUACAAAGUUGACAGGUUUGCACCAAGGAAACACUUGAAUGGCCAUAAGACUGCACUGGGGAAUGACCAAGGAUGCCCGGAGUCGGUGUUGGUAGCACAUGUGUUUGAGUGGAAAAAGAUGGUUUGGGUGGAUAAGACCGAAACCCUUGAUUAAACUUGCCUUUGCCUUUGUUUCUGUUGCCAUUGAACAGCUUAUAACCACCAGAGAAGAACUGAGACUGACCAGAUGCACCCUUUCCGGAAUGCGAAACAUUAUUUGCAACCAUUGCAGUAAUAAAUGGUGCAGUGGUAGAAUUCUCAACAAUAAUCUCUUCAGCAAGCAACUGAGAUCGAAACUCUUUAAGAGAUAUCACAUUCUCACGACCUCUAAUGACACACCGAAAAGUAUUAUAUUCAGAGGGUAAGCCAUUGAGAGCAAGGAUAACAAUAUCUUCAUCAGCAAAAUGAACUCCAGCAGCAGAUAAGUAAUCCCGAGCCUCUUUUAUCCUAUGAAGAUACUGGGACACUAAAUCAGAACCCUUCUUAAUAGUUUGGAGAUUAGAUUUCAUUUGAAAUAUACUAGUCUUAGACACAGUAGAGAAUUGUUCUUUCAAACGAAUCCAUAUAUCUUGAGAACUCUUACUACCAAUAGCACAAGAUAGAGCAGCAGGCGAAAGGGUAGCAGUUAGCAGUUGCAUAACAGCCUUAUCAUGCAUUUUCCAAAUCAUAAACUCAUCCGUUGCAACAGAAGCAUUAGAGCUAGAGUUCAUACCAGAGGCACCAGAUUGAUCGGAAAAUUGAGGAGGACAGGGAUGUGAGCCAUCAACAAACCCCAUAAUUCCAUUGCUCUCCAACAAGAGUUGUAUCUGAAAGUGCCAAUUAAGAUAGUUGGAGUCAUCCAAUUUGACAUUCACCGAAGUCGAAAUGGAGGAGAUUAGGGCAGUAAUCGGGGAUUGCACAAUUUGAAGUUGCGAUGCAGUUACCAUUGAAAUUGCUUCAGACAAACUCAGUGAGAACUUUUAGCAAACAGGUGGAAUGCACUGACCAAAAAAGCAGAAGAAAUGAUCGACACAGGAAGACGAUCAACCAAGAAACAAGAAAAAAACUAGAAAUCAAGAUUUCGAGAAGACGAAGAGAAUUGAAGAAACCGAAGACAAAUUCCGAGAUCAAAUACACCGUCGAGGCGAGCGGAAGCAGAGACAGAGGAUCGAAGAUCAAGCGCAGGCAACAAAGGCGAGUGAUACCAUGUGAAUGUAACUAUAUCUAUGAAAUUGUAUACAGAAAUUCUAGAGAGAGAUAACAAUUCAGAGAGAAGAGAGAGAGAAUGAAUGUUCUUGAUAUAUUUCUUAAUCACCAAGUAAUACAAGAGGUUGAGAUAUUUAUACACUUCUAACAACAAGGCUAAAUGCCUUAACUAACACAUCUUCUAAUCUAAUUACACAUGUCAUCAUCCUAUACAUCAAUUUCUAUAUUCUAUCACCUACAAAUGAAAUCUGGCAUAGUGAAAGUUUGCGUAGCGAAAUUAUGACAAAUUUUCCUUCAUCUUUAAAUUUUCAUUCAAUUCAUAUGCAAUUUGGUAUGAUUCAAUUCAUAAGUGAUCAAAUUCUAUUUUUUUCUGUCCUUAUUUUGAAUUUCAGUUUAACGUUGUCAUACAAAACGAAGGAGACAUCAUUAACGGAGUUACGGAGUUGGGUUCUUUAGUGAAACAAAACUGGAUUGUUUUAACUUUGUAUAGUAGUAAACAUAAAACAAUCUCUGGGAUAUAGCCAUAGCUUUUGAAAAACAACCCUAAGGAUGGCAUGCCAAUAUUCCCAAUUUUUUCCAUGUAAUAUAUGAACGUAAAUAGCACUUCCUUAACACAUGGAUAUGAUAUAUGUAUAUAAAUAUAAAUACCACUUUGUGGCACAUAUUUUUUUCGAGACUUCUACAUAUUCAUUAGUGUUUUCAAACCCCACAGCAAUGGACAGGUACUCUUUGGUAGUUUUGAACAAAACAUCAUUUUAUGCAAAUCUGUUUUAUCAACUACAUGCUCAAAUUAAGAAUAAGUUGAGAACGUGGCUUUAAGAAAGGAAAAUGAUAAACACAUAUUGUAUUUUUCCUCUUAUAUUCCUAUGUUUUAUCAUGUUUAUUGUUUUUAUUGAUUUAUUCGACUUGUUGAUUAGAAAAGAAGGAUGUGUGAUAGGCUAACUAAAAAAGGUGUGUGUAAUCUAGUUUCCUUGAGAAACCAAGAGAAAUGUAAGAAAGCGAGACACUUCACAGUUUCAUUACACUCUUUGUUAAAAAAGGAAAAUAAAAAGGCUUUUUUGCUAAAAUAGUCCAUGAGAUUUGCAUAAUUUAUUAUUUUGGUUUUUGAGAUUUAAAAUCAAUAGAAAUGGUUUCUGAGAUUGUCCAUCAUCUAUCAUUUUGGUCAUUUUGUGAAAAAACUCUGUUAAGUUGAGAGUAUUUUUGUCAAAUCAAAUUCUCUACUUACUUUUUCACCCUUUUCUCUCAUUUCCCUAAAAAAUGAUCAUAUGUUGCUGAUUUUGACAGUGAAAUCAAAUCUUCACCCAUUAUUAAAAAACUAUUUGACGCCAAAUUCAAGUAAAUCAUUGCAGAUGACCCUUGACUUUUUCCCUUUCAUUAAUUUUUGAUAAAAGCUGCACAAUUUGCACAUUUGAAUAUAAAUGAAAUCUAUGGUUCAAAGUAUAGUAUAUCCACAGACAAGGCUAAUCAAUAGAAUUACCAAAAAGAGAUACCAUGUUCCAUCACAUGAGAUUUCGAACAUGAUUAGCAUUAUAACUUGCAAAAUAUCCCAAAGCAAAACAUUCAAAUGUUCAACAAUUUUACAAUUUUAUAAAUUUUAAAAGCAUGAAUUGACGAAAAUGCCCUGGAGGCGAGGACUUUGAUUUCUGUUGACCGUCGUCUAGAGGAACGUAUGACUUAUUCUUUUGGCGUAUUUGUGUAGUACUCGUUGGUACGAACGCAUAGGCGAAAACUGUUUGAGAAUCCGGAUUAUAACGGUAUGGUCACGGACAUUUGAAUUUGGUUAUUUAUAUUUUGGAUUAUAGAUUAAUUGAACUUCCACCUUGCGGGAGUAAAGCCCAAUCGGAUUUAGGCAAGAUUAAGGAGAACCAAUUGGAAUUAAGUAAGAAAUAAAGGAACCAAUUAGGGGCUUGGUUUCAGCCCAAUCAGUUAUGUUAAAUAAGUGACCAAUCAAAUUUUGAAAAAGAAAAGGGGAAGGACCAAUGAGAAAUCAGGAAGAAAAAAAGAAAAAGAGGAAAGCUCCAUUUCCGUCGGCCCUUUUACCCGCACCCAACCCAAUCGAAUUCUGGCGAUUUUCGCCAUCUUUUUCGUCGAACGUCACCAUCUAACACCUGCCAUCUCUUCCACAACAUUUCUUCUACCAUUUCCACCCAAAUUUGUGAGCUUGUAGGUCCAAAAUCGCGAUAACCGUGUGGAAGAGCCUGAGGUGUUCGAUGGCUAUCCCGCCGUUCCGGCGAGUUCUACCACCCACCAUCACCCUUAAUCAACUUCCCUUGGACCCAGGAACAAGACCCAACCAGUUAUAGGGGCGUUGGAACAUCGGAGAAGUCGAAUCGAAGCACACCCUUUAUAGGGUUCCGACGGGUUUGAGUGAAAUUGGAGCCUUUGGUGGCUAGAUUGAACUUGGCCACAGGUAUAAAUCGAUUCCUCCUUUUGUAGAUGAAUUUUCAUGUUUGGAUCGUGUGAUUUGGUGGAGAAACGAGAAAGUUAUAACAAUUUAAAGUUUGCCCAGUUUCCGGCGACCUCCGCCACUUUCGAGGUGUUUUACGGAAAAAUCACGGCAAGAUAGCCAUCUUGUAAGGUAUCAAUCUCUUCAUAUUGUUGAGACUAUGAUUUUUGUUUUUGAAUCACUUGUUUUCAUUGAGUAUUGACAAAGUUAUGGACGUUGAAAGGGUGCCCAGAAAUUCCGGCGAGUUACCAGUUUUCCCGCGGACAGCCAUCUUUCAGACCAUUUUCCGGCCACCUACGGCCACCAUUUGGACUCCAAGUUGGUAUAAUUUUGUUCUAAAUUUCUCUAGCUUCGAUUUGGUAUAUUAUGGGUUGAAUUUGGUUGAGAAACAAGUGAGAUAUGGAGUUCCAAAAAUUGCCCAGGAAAUCUGCAAAAUCUGCAUAAUCCGGCAAAGUUCCAUUAAGGUCCACCACUUGAUUAGAAUAGUAAUAGACGAUCUGACUGUUGGAUCAUCACCAAACUUUAAUAAAUUAUAGUACGGUAUAUUUGAGGACCAUAGAAACUUACGGAUCAGGAAUCCGACGUACGGAUCUUCCCAAAUUGGAUUUGUAAGUUUAUUAAAUAAAUGUUAACCGCCACUUGGUUUUGGGCAAUUGGCGGAGAUCCGACCGUUGGAUCACAAUGAAAUUUUAGUAUGUUAUUCUAGAAGCAUAAUGUGGAUCUUUGGAAGUUUCGGAUUGAAAAUCUGAAUUUCAGAUCUUCCGGAUUGAGUUAUACAGGGUUGUAGACCCUACCGUCGAUCUUUGAUCGAUGGUUGACUCGUGGUCGAUGAGUCUCAAACUAUUUUAGAAUGUCCUUGAGGAUGUGCUUUAUGUGAAUUUCGUAUUCUAUUGAUAAGAAUUCUGAGAUGUGAUCCGAUAAUUGUUAUAGGCGCCAAUCUUUCGAGACGUCUCGAUGCUCGUGCUAGAUAAUCAUAGCGUGGACUUUAGGUGAGUGGGUCUUUUCCUUUUAUCAUAGGCAUAUAGUUGAUAGUUCCACAAAUGCUUCUAAAUUGAUUUAUGCAUUUUAUGCCAUAUCAUAUAUAUAUAUAUGUAUAUAUAUAUACAGAGAGCUUAAGGGGAGGGAUCCCCAUUUUUUUGAAAAAAAUGGGGACACGCUCCCCACCGUUAGAUUGACUUUAAUGAAAUUGUGUGGUUGAGAUUAAAACAUAGGCUAUACAAUCUCAACCACACAAUUUCAUUAAAGUCAAUCUAACGGUGGGGAGCGUGUCCCCAUUUUUUUCAAAAAAAUGGGGAUCCCUUCCCUUAAGCAAUUCCUAUAUAUAUAUAUAUAUAUAUAUAUAUAUAUACAUGUGUGUGUGUAUAUGUUCUGAAGUGCUAAUAGAUGGUUGAGUUUAGAUUAUGUCAUAGUAUAUCCACAUGCAUGUUAUCUACAAUUAAUUAAUGUGAACUACAAAUGGCUUGAUCCCUGUUUAGGGUAUGUAGGCAGUCUAGUGAGAUGUUAGAUGCAACCAUAUAAUAAAUGAGACUAAAUAAUUGAGACAAUAACAUUGUUUGGGGAAUUGAGCAAUGUGAGUGGGCAUUUGUUCACACACACACAUACACACACACACACACACACAUAUAUAUAUAUAUAUGUUUUAUGGUUUCCAGAAAUGUUUUAAGUUGAGUUAUGCAUUUCAUCCUAUGUCUAAAAUGUGUUAUAUUCUAAGUGUUACAUUGUUUUGAAUUAUGUUAUGCUAAACGACGCUGAGGAGGCGCAAGUAAGUUCAGGUAAGUAUACGGUAUUAGUUGAAUUAAUGGGGUUAUGGUAUGACUACAUUUACGUUUUAAGCAACUCUGACAUUGUCGUACAAGUUGCAAUAGUAGGUAACUCCGGCAUUGUCGUACAGGUUGCCUAUGAGUCGUACAUGUUGUAUUAAAUGCAUUUAAAGCUCAUAAACCCGCACCCCCGUGUUAGUGCUCCUGCUCGUGGCCAGGGCACAAUCUUUCACGUGAUAUUCACCUCUCGCACCAUACGCUCACCUUGAAUCCAAGUUAGGUGCAUAGGCAUGUCGUAUAGACCACUAUAGGUGGUUCCGACUCGUAGGUGACCUGCGAUCACUCGCACAACUUUCACGUAAUUGUAGCACUAGAGCGUAUACAUUCACACCCAGGCAUGUCGUAUAGACCACUACAGAUGGUUCCGACUCGUGUGCAGAUGUAGUGCCAUACAGGUCACUAAAGGUGACUCCGGCUUAUGUGCUAGCAAUGAUUGAUGAGUUAUGAUUUCAGUCGUACAGGUCACUAGAGGUGACUCCGGCUUAUGUGCUAGCAAUGAUUGAUGAGCUAUGAUUUCAGUCGUACAGGUCACUAGAAGCGACUCCGACUUAUAUGCUAACAAUGAUUGAUGAGAUAUGGGUGCAGUCAUACAUGUCACGUUAGGUGACUCCGACUGAUAUUUCAUUUCAUAUUGAUUAAAUUCAUUUGGCCUACUUGUUAAUGCAUUGUGGAAUUGAUGGACAUGGCAUACCCGUGGUUUUGGUCAUUCAUGAGUAUGGUUUGGAUUUACAUACAUAUAGAUAUGUAUAUAUGUAGUAUUGUCUUAUGAAAACAAUACGGGUUUUACAUUGAAGGGCAUUACUUCUAGAAAGGUAAUAACUUUGGGAAGCUUGGUUUUUAUUGCUCACUCACACUCUCUGUUUCGUGCCCUCCAAGUUUUAGCUGCUGAGUUCGUAUCAACGAUGAUUUGUGGCGAAUCUUAGUAUUGAUGGCCACCUCUGAGGGUAUGAUUCAUACCCACAUUACUAUACUUUACUUAUACUCUAACUUCGCGUGUGAAAUGGGUUCGCUCCCACUCACAACGUACUCUGGUAUUUAAACACUUUUAGGUUUAAAUUUAUUCACAUUUUACACAUCAUCACAUUCUAUGGCUUCGUCACCCUCCAGAUGUCGGCCAACACGGCUCAAUUCGGGGUCCUAGUGGACAUUCCGGGUCGGGGUGUGUCAAUAUCCAACUGUUCUAAUUCACAAAAAAAAGAAAAGAAAUGGUUGUAGCUUGUUUUCUUCCAUUUGUGCAUUGACAUCCAAACUACAAACUCCCUCCAUACUCAAGGCUUCCAAGGCUUGCCACUUUUUUAGGGUGAUUUGUAUCUUUUGUUGGUAGAUUCUGAUUGUGGUGACACUACUUGGGAUAUGACACCAAUGCAGUCUUGUACCUGUUAAAGGAAAAGGAUCAUCGCCAUAUCCUUUUCUAAGGAUCCUAGGGAUCCAACAAUCGUGUAUGUUCAUCGUACAUCGUGCGUCAUAAAUCAUUUUAAAAUUUAAAUUUAAAUUCAAAUAUAAAUAGUACCUAACGAAAACUGACCGCACAAUGUACGAUGAACGGACAAGAUUGUAAGAUCUCUAGGAAAAGGAUCCUCCGGAGGAUCCUUUUCCCCUGUUAAAAACCAAAUGAUAAUAGCUUAUGCUUAGUCACCCUAUAAAAUCCAAAUCAUACUGCUUUUAUCACAAUUUACACAAAUUAUUGUUAAAAAAAAGGUAAAGAAUAAACAAUACAAAAACUAAAGGACUCUUGAAUGUACCAUUUAAACUUAUGGAGUGAGUUGUGAGCUAGUUACUACUAUUCUCAUUCCCCUCCCUUUUUCCAUGCCUCUGCCCUGUCCCACGGAAAAUGAUCAUCGCCGGAACCUUUUCCUAAGGAUCCUAGAGAUCCAGCAAUCGUGUCCGUUCAACAUACAUCGUGCGGUCAUAAAUCGUUUUAAAUUUUAAAUUUUAAAUUCAAAUAUAAACAGUACCUAACAAAAACUGACCGCACGAUGUACAAUGAACGAACAAGAUUGUAGGAUCCCUAGGAAAAGGAUCCGGCGAGGAUCCUUUUCCCCUCCCACCUACAUUAUCAACAAAUAUAAUGAACUUCACUUUCAUUAUAAAAAACUACAAUUUAAAAACAAAAAUACAACAUAAAACAUAUUAUACUUCUAGUGUAGAUGUGUUAAUAAUCAAAUGAUUUGGCUCUUGAGUGGCUUGAGUUGCUAUUUUUAAAAUGACCUCAAUGCUCAUGGUCAAUCUUUGUGUUAACAAUGUGUUGUGAGGAAGAUCUCCUCAAGUAACAUAUGAAAUCAAUGGAACCGUGACAUCAUUUCUCAAAAGAGUGUCUCGUCCACAAAGUAAAAAGGAAAACGACUUCGCAAGAUGUUAAGAGAGAUGUAAGAAUGAUGCGGAGUGGUGUUUUUGUUUCCUCCAAGCUCGUCGAGCAAUUGUUAGGAAAGGCCGUAAGAAUGUUUGAUAUAGUGGCGCUCGAUCCAUCAUGAUGACAUGCAUCAUCCUUCACAACAUGAUUGUGGAAUAUAAUUGACUAUUUAUUUCAUAGAUGUUUACGUAGAAUUAUAGGAAAACGCCAACAAUUACUGUCUUAUAUGUUAAAGAAAAAUAGAAUAUGUUAUAAAUUAUGAAAAACUCGUUAAUUUUAUGAAUGCAUUAUGAAUUAUUUGAUUUAUUAGAUCUUGAAUUUUAAUGAACGUUUUUUUCAUUUUCAACAAUUCAUGCCUCUGCCCCUUCCCACCUACAUUAUCAAUCAAUUUAAUGAACUUCACUUUCAUUAUCAAAAACUACAAUUUAAAAACAAAAAUACAAUGUAAAACAGAUUAUUCCUCUAGUGUAGAUGUGUUAACAACCGAAUGAUUUGGCUCUUGAGUGGCUUGAGUUGCUAUUUUUAAAAUGACCUCAAUGCCCAUGGUCAAUCUAUGUGUUCAACAAUGUGCUGUGAGGAAGAUCUCCUCAAGUCACAUAUGAAAUCAAUGGAACUGUGACAUCAUUUCUCAAAAUAGUGACACGUUUAUAAAGUAAAAAGGAAAAUGACUUCGCAAGAUGUUAAGAAGGAUGUGGAGUGGUGUUUUUGUUUCCUCCAAGUUCGUUGAGUAAUUGUUAGGAAGGGCUAUAAGAAUGUUUGAUGCAGUGGCGCUCGAUCCAUCACGAUAACAUGCAUCAUCAUUCACAACAUGAUUAUGGAAGAUAAUUGACUAUUUAUUUCAUAGAGGUUUACAAAGAAUUAUGGGAAAACGCCAACGAUUAUUGUCUUAUUUGUUAAAGAAAAAUAUAAUAUGUUAUAAAUUAUGAAAAACUCGUUAAUUUUAUGAAUGCAUUAUGAAUUAUUUGAUUUAUUAGAUCUUGAAUUUUAACGAACAUUUUUCGUUUUCAACAAUUCAUGAAAGAACGAAUUGAGAAAAAAAAAACCUGUGAAUAUAUUGGCAACAAGAAAAUACCUUAUGAUAAUCAAUAUAGGCCCCCACCAUCAAUUAAUGAUGGUGUUCUUCAACUAAUUAUUACACUAGAUGAUGAAAAUGUUAUUAAAUGCAAACCAAUAUUGUAUUAUUUACACCUAAUAAUUGAAAAAAGAAUUGCAAAAAAUCAAAUAAUUGUGCAAUAUUUAUCUUAUGUAACACGGUCAUUAGUGUGUUUGCAGUCGUGUGACUUGACUCAUGAGUGUCAUCAGUUGGUAUUGACUGACUUGUAAAGCCUCAAUUUCCACAAGUUCUUUUUGUGUGGCCUUCAAGUCUACAUUGAUAACAUGUGAAAGGAAAGGUCUUUGCGAAUGACAAAGAUUGUCGAUAUUGACUGACUUGUAAAGCCUCAAUUUCCACAAGUUCUUUUUGUGUGGCCUUCAAGUCUACAUUGAUAACAUGCGAAAGGAAAGGUCUUUGUGAAUGACAAGGAUUGUCUACCCUCCAAUUUCUAGUGCCCUCUCGUGCCCUCCUGUUUUGUGUGAUUAUGGUUAAGUCACGUCAAUAUUUUAUAUAUAUUUUUUUAUAGAGAUAAUAAGACAAAAUUGAAUAGUACUAUAAAAUGUUGACGUAGUUUAACCGUGACCACACAAACAGAAAAGCAUGGGAGGACAUCGAAAGUGAAAGGGCAGACAAUCCUUGUCCCUUUGCGAAACCCAUUUCCUAGCCACUUUCCAGUUCCCAAUCCUUGUCCCUUUGCGAAACCCAUUUCCUAGCCACUUUCCAGUUCCCAAUCCUUGUCCCUUUGCGAAACCCAUUUCCUAGCCACUUUCCAGUUCCCACCAUGAGUUGUGAUGCUCUUCCUCAGGCUCAUUUUCCGUAUUCUUUCUUUUACAGCUGUCAUGCGAAAUGAUAACAACAUGUACGGCUGUCCACUUACCUAUGGGGAUCACUUGGUAUGUUCUCGCCGCCAACUAUAGAGGAACCUGAAUUGUCUGCCCUCUUCUUCUGUCCAAUCAUUUUCCUAUUCUUUUCUAUUUAUGUGGUCACGGUUAAGUCAUGUUAAGACAAAAAAUAAUAAGAAUACAACAUAUUAACGUAAUUUAAUCGUGACCACAAAAAUAAGAAAGAAUGAGAAUAAUAUGGAAUGAAGAGGACAGACAAUCUAGGUCCACUAUGGAGAUCUUUCACACCAUGUUUUAGGUGUCAGCUAACUAUGGCGGUCAUUCACACCCUAAUUUCCAGGUUAGCCAGCUAUGGAGGACCUUCACUCCAUGUUCCAAGUGUCAGCCAUCUAUGGAGGCGCUCCACCCCAUGCUUCAAGCGUCAGCAAACUAUGGGACAAGGCCCUUCACUCCAUAAUUUCAGGUUUUAAGAGUUACGUGUCAACCAUUUGUAGUGUUUGCACUGGCAGAGCCUAUCGUGAAAAAGAUAUAAUCUUAUAUAAUCCGAGAUAGCUUUUGGUGAAAAAGAAAAUUUUACACAUAAUUUUCAUUAAUUUUUUAAUGUAAUCUACCAUAUACGUAGACACUAAGCCUAAUUAUCUUAGUUUAAUUGUAUAAGAUUAUACCUUACAAUUCAUAAGCCAUCUUUUUGUCUUUCUCGGCAUAUUUGACACACCCUGAUCCGAAAUGUUCACUUGAACUUCGAAUUGAGUUGUGUUGGACGACACAUGGAGGGUAACGAAGCCUUAAAGUGUAGUGUAGUGGAAAAAGAAUGUGAAUAAAUUUAAACCUAAAAGUGCCUAGUCAAAAGAAUGUGCGAGUGAGUGGGAUUGAACCCAUUUCACACGUGAUGUCAGAGCAUAAGACAAUAUAGUAAAUAGGAUGAGGGUUAAAGCACUGAAGAUAACCAUCUUCUGAGAUUUAUCAGAAUCCUCGUUUACACAUAAGCACAACUACUAAACCUGGAAGGGCGAAAAACAAAGUUGAGUGGGUCAGCAAAACAACGUUUGUAAGAAAACCUUUAUUUUUGAACAUAGUAACCCAUCGCUGGAAAACAAGUAUAGUUUUCGUAAAACAUACUACGUAAGUAUGUAAACAAAAGUACAACAACAAUAUAACCAGAAAUAUGCCAAAUCAUGAUAUAUCAAAUGCCGCAGUAAUAUAAUCAUGUGAUAAAUAAAUAUAACUAAGUGCUCAUCCAUCUAAGUUGACACACAAGUUCGUAUAGAUAAUCUCUGACACGAACAGGACUGGGUGUAAUCAAUACAUUCUAGUAUUACGAUCACGUGAAGGCUAGUGCCAAAGCACGGUCACAUACGAGUCGAAAUUGCCUAAUGCAAUUUGUGCGAUAAGACUAACACCUAACUUGGAUCCAAGGCGAGCGAACGGUGCAGAUGUGAACAUACACGUGAAGGUUGGCCCUGGCCCUAGGUUGGGUACUAACGUCGGGGUGCAGCAAGAUGAGCAUGUACAAAUAUGUAUAAAUGUCACGAUAGUAAUAUCUCAACCAUAUAGCAGCAUUUAUCACAUUUAAUAUCACAAUAACGAUACUUGGCAAUAUAAGCAUAAUAAUGGAGUAAAUACGCAUUUAUGGAAACUAUAACUAUGUAUAGGUAUAAAAACAAACUGCCCACUCAUAAAUACACAGUAAAUAUGAAGCAUCUGAUCCUUGCUUGACCCCAUGUGCCAUCGGGAUACGUUUCCCCUAUAUGUGAAAUUACUAAUUAACUUAGUUUAAUAACACAUAUACGGAAACUUAAAUAAAACCUCCGUAGAUUACCCAAACAUAAGGUUUGAAUAUACAAAAUCGAUCUACUCGACGUUACAGACCUACACAAAUUGACCGCACGGUAACCUAAGGCCGGACACACCCCCACGUGCCGCCUAGCCCACGGCCACACGUGUGCCCACACGCAGGCCAGUGGCUAACAGAUCCGAGGAAUAUUCUAUCAUUUCUAACAGAAUAUUCCGUUAAACAAUUAACAAAAGUGAAUGACGUUACCUGACGCCGUUAGAAUAUUCCAUCAAAGUUGACGGAAUAUUCCUUGUUUUCUUCGGCGAGUUUCGCCGGUCGUCACCGUCUGGUUUCAUCGAAAUCUGGAAAUUUUAGCUGGUUUCUAGGUAAAAUUUCAAACCUUCAAAUCUUCUUCAUUUUUCAACUAUUUUUCAUAAAAUUAUAUAGAAAUGAAGCUUAUGAAGAAUAGAAUCACGUUAUACCUUUCAAACCUUUCAAAGGUCCAAAAAGUGAACAGAUGUGGCUUGAAAAUGGCUCGAAAGGUACUGCCAAACUGGAACUUCUCGAAACCUCAUGUUUUGUACAUCAACUCUUCACCAAAACUAAUCUAGGAUCUUUAAGAAGUUGAGUAGUAGCUUUCUCGAGUCCUAAAAUGCCGUGACUCGAUCUGAAAAUCGUCGAUCCAGAACUCACCGAGUCAGAGCUUCCGAGUUGGUGAGUCAAACCUCAACCAAAUCUAGAUAUGGUUACACAGUUGUGUUCGUGGGGUUGGGGUUGAGGGGAGUUCAACGAUGUAGGUUACAAGUCACGUUUAGGUGGUUUGGACGUCGGUUGAGAGAGUUGCAGAGAAAAGGUAAGAGAUAGACCUUCGGGAAGAGAGAGAGUAGAGAGAGUAAGGUUUGAGUUGUGAUUGAUGGGACAUAAAUGAGAGCAUUUCUGAUUGGUUGAGUGAGAGAGGGAAAACAAUUGAUUGGGUGGUGAUGAGGGAUUCAAGGAAAAAGCAAAAGUUUGAUUGGUGGAUGAGAUGGGGAACCCGGAUCCCUUUUUUUAGGAAUGGGAUUGGAUUGAUGGAUUUUCAGAUUUUGUACCAUUUCAAAUGUACAAAAUUUGUAUCCUUAACAGUGUUUCUAACACUGAUAUUUUGUACGAACGUGUACAAAAUACCUGUAAUUAACGUACUUUAACGGAACAUAACUUUUUCGUUACAAAUCCGAUUCAAGCCUAACAUGCGUUCACGCGUUCGUAGCGACAAGUACUAAUUUAGUACGAAACCAGGAAAAUGAAACUGAAAACCGAAAACCACAUCCACGUCAUAUUCCAGUUUUUUCCAAAAAGGGUAAAACCGUCAACUCACACCAACGGAAAAGGAAUUACAAUGAAAAGUAGGGACGGGUCGUCACAAAAUUUGUUUCAACUCGUUUAAAUUUUAAUACGUAUUUUUGUUGGUAAACAAAUGGGGCUAAACGUCAAAUAAAGAAAAACUAAAGCAAAGCAUCACAAGGUUUAGAGAUUUCAGCAACAUUAGACAAUAAGAGAUGUCGACAAGAGGCAGGAGCUUAAGUGAAAUACAUUGGACCAAAAGACUACGGCAAACUCAAGUUAGCCAACUCCUCAACCACAAAAUGCAUCUCAUCAUAAACGUGACCAACUUCACAAUUCCAUCUUUGUUUAACAGCUCAAGGCAAGCUUGCACCAACUCACCAAGAGGAUGGUUCUCACUCACACCUUGAAGAACUAAAUGGGCAAUGAGAACAAAAUCAAAUUCCUAUUUUACACGUAUUUGUUUAACAAUGAAAAAUUUUGGCUCACCGUGUGAAAAUUUUAUUAGGCUAGCUGAUAGUGUAAAAAAAUAUUGUAUGUUUCUGCAUUUAUAAAAAUUUAUAUCUUUAAGCUAGCCUACUUGGUGAAGUCUCCGCCCUUAUUCACCGUCAGGUGAUCUUUUUUGUCUAAUAAUGCAUUGUUAUGUGCAAAAUGCAUUGCCAUGUGCAAAGUAUUCUCCACAUGAUAAUGUAUUAUUAAAUCUAAACGUCACAUUAUAAUAAAUCAGUUAUAUGUAAGUUGCUUUCGAAAAUUAUACUAAUGAAGAGAUGAUCGUGCCGCAUACGCUUAGGCAUGUGGCUCUAUUAUUUGCCUAGUACUAGUCAUCAAAUUCCAGUCUAUUAGAAACCGACUUAUUUAUUUGAAAAAAAAAAAACGAAGAAGAAGGGGUUGACUGAUUUUAUUUUUUAUUUAUUUUUUGUUGACAUGCAUACUUUAUGGGGUCAUUUUGAUGGGAAAGGAUGGGAUAGUGAUGGUAGCACCUCUUCCGGGUCAAUGGUAGAGUCCACUUUACUUGGACUUCUUGAAUCGUUCAACAGGAAACGCUUUUUGGGUCAAUGCAUGGGAACGAUCCAUUUUAAAAUUGUUUGUAAAUUUCUAUAAGUAGAUAGUAAUGACCCAAUUAAAUAUUUCCCCUGCACAGAUUUACUUGCAUUGCACCUAGCAAAGAUCAGUUUUUUUGUUUGUCCAUCGAUCCAUAUCAAACAAAUCAAUCAUCAGAACCAUCAUAAAAUAUUUUGUUUUUAGAUUGUUGAAGUAAUAUUAAAAAAUAUAAAAAAAACAUAAGAAUUUUAAUAAUAAUAAUCAUAAAGAAAUUCACAACAUCAAUUAUGUAUGAGAUUAUUAUAAACAACUAAAGAGAAAGUUAGAAAAACUGACAAACUUGAAGAUUGAGGUUUCCAUAAAUACAAUGUCCUAAAGAUAGAAUUUUGCCCCUACUCUUGAUCCGAAGUUGAAGCACUUCAAUAUUUGGAUUCUGGCGAAUUUUAUAUUUUCUAUACUCUCAAGACACGACUCGAAAUUUGACAAACGAAAAAUGAGAGAAAUAAAGUGAGGAAACCCUAUUUCUCAAGAGUAAAAAUUAACUCUAAUUUUAUAUCUUUAAUGAUAAUGGUUUCAUGGGUUUAUACAGAACCCAUUGUAUUGUUUGGCGUAAAAAUGCAACUUUGCAUCUAUACAACCUACACCACUCAUCAAACUACACGUCCCAAAUUACAAAUAAUAUGAUGCAACAAUUAAGAAUAAACAAGAUUAAUUUUUUCAUUCAAUAUUUUGAAAUUAAGUAUUAUAAUAUAAAUUUUCAACAUUGACUUGACUGUUCGUCUAUCAGUAACAAGUCCACAUCUCAACCCAAAUACAAUGAUGUCAAAUGAGAAGGGAAAAUGAGAAGGAAACUCUGGAGGGUAGAGGGAAGGAAAAGGAGAGAGAAAAGGAGGAAAAGAGAAAAGGAGGAGGAAAAAGUAGAAAUAAAGAAAAACUAAAGCAAAGCAUCACAAGGUUUAGAGAUUUCAGCAAUAUUUGACAAUAAGAGAUGUCGACAAAAGGUAGAAGCUUGAGUGAAAUACAUUGGACUAAAAAAAUACGACAAACUCAAGUUCGCCAAUUCCUUAGCCAUAAAAUGCAUCUCAUCAUAAACGUGAUCAAGUUUACAAUUCCAUCUUUGUUUAACAGUUCAAGGCAAGCCUGCACCAACUCACCGAGAGGAUGGUUCUCACUCACACCUUGAAGAACUAUAUGGACAAUGAUCAAAGAACUAAAUGGACAAUGAGAACAAAAUCAAAUUCCAAUUUUACAAGUAUUUGUUUAAUAAUGAAAAUUUUUGGCUCACCAUGUGAAAAUUUUAUUAGGCUAGCUGAUAGUGUAAAAAAAUAUUGUAUGUUUAUGCAUUUAUAAAAAUUUAUAUCUUUAAGCUAGCCUACUCGGUGAAGUCUCCGCCCUUAUUCACCGUCACGCGAUCUUUUUGUCUAAUAAUGCAUUGCCAUGUGCAAAGUAUUUUCCACAUGACAAUGUAUUAUUAAAUUUAAAUGUCACGUUAUAGUAAAUCAGUUAUAUAUAAGUUGUUUUCGAGAAUUAUACUAGUGAAGAGCUGACCGUGCCGCAUACGCUUAGGCAUGUGGCUCUAUUAUUUGCCUUGUACUAGUCAUCAAAUUCCAGUCUAUUAGAAAUCGACUUAUUUAUUUGAAAAAAAAAAUUGAAAAAAAAAAUGAAGAAGAAGGGGUUGACUGAUUUUAUUUUUUAUUUAUUUUUUGUUGACAUGCAUACUUUAUGGGGUCAUUUUGAUGGGAACCUAGGAUGCGAGAGUGAUGGUAGCACCUUUUCCAGGUCAAUGGUAGAGUCCACUUCACUUGGACGUCUUGAAUCAUCCAUCAAUAACAAGUCCACAUCUCAACCCAAAGAGGAAUACGAUUGUCUGCCUUCCCAAUUUUCAUGUCCUCCUGUUUUGUGUAGUCACAGUUAAGUUACGUUAACAUUUUAUAUUAUUUUUUAUAAAGAUAAUAAGACAAAAAUGAAUAGUAAUAUAAAAUGUUGACGUGGUUUAACCGUGACCACACAAACAGGAGAGCAUGGAAGGGCAUGGAAAAAGGGAGGGCAGACAAUCCUUGUCCAAUAUAAUGAUGUCAAAGGAGAGGGGAAAAUGAGAAGGAAACUCUGGAGGGUAGAGGGAAGGAAAAAGGGAUAAGGAUUGUCUGCCUUCCCAUUUUCCAUGCCCUUCCAUGCCCUCCUGUUUUGUAUAGUCACGGUUAAGCCACGUUAACAUUUUAUAUUAUUUUUUUAUAAAGAUAAUUAUACAAAAAUGAAUAGUAAUAUAAAAUGUUGACGUGACUUAACCGUGACCACACAAACAGGAGGGCAUGGAAAAAGGGAGGGCGGACAAUCCUUGUCUAGGAAAAGGAGGGAGAAAAGGAGAAAAAUAGAAGGGAAAGGUAGAAAUAAAGAAAAACUAAAGCAAAGCAUUACAAGGUUUAGAGAUUUCAGCAACAUCUGACAAUAAGAGAUGUCGACAAGAGGUAGGAGCUUGAGUGAAAUACAUUGGACCAAAAGAAUAUGACAAACUCAAGUUAGCCAAUUCCUCAGCCACAAGAUGCAUCUCAUCAUAAACGUGACCAAGUUCACAAUUCCAUCUUUGUUUAACAGCUCAAGGUAAGCCUGCACCAACUCACCAAGAGGAUGGUUCUCACUCACACCUUGAAGAACUAUAUGGACAAUGAUCGAAGAACUAAAUGGACAGUGAGAACAAAAUCAAAUUCCAAUUUUACACGUAUUUGUUUAAUAAUGAAAAAUUUUGGCUCACCAUGUGAAAAUUUUAUUAGGCUAGCUGAUAGUGUAAAAAAAUAUUGUAUGUUUAUGCAUUUAUAAAAAUUUAUAUCUUUAAGCUAGCCUACUCGGUGAAGUCUCUGCCCUUAUUCACUGACACGUGACAUUUUUUGUCUAAUAAUGCAUUGCCAUGUGCAAAGUAUUCUCUACAUGACAAUGUAUUAUUAAAUCAAAACGUCACGUUAUAGUAAAUCAAUUAUAUGUAAGUUGUUCUCAAAAAUUAUACUAGUGAUGAGCUGAUCGUGCCGCAUACGCUUAGGCAUGUGGCUCUAUUAUUUGCCUUGUACUAGUCAUCAAAUUCCAGUCUAUUAGAAAUCGACUUAUUUAUUUGAAAAAAAAAAACGAAGAAGAAGGGGUUGACUGAUUUUAUUUUUUAUUUAUUUUUUAUUGACAUGCGUACUUUAUGGGGUCAUUUUGAUGGGAACCUAGGAUGCCAUAGUGAUGGUAGCACCUUUUCCGGUCAAUGGUAGAGUCCACUUCACUUGGACGUCUUGAAUCGUUCAACAGGAAACGCUUUUUGGGUCAAUGCAUGGGAACGGAAGAGGAUCCUCUCUUGAGCUCGAGAUGGGGAUGUUCUUGAUCACGUAAUCUGGGCCGUUCAAAUUUAAUUCAACGGUUGCAAUUAUUAUAACUUUUAGAGAACCUUCUGUUUGGAGUCGUUUGAUUAAAUUUGAAUAGUCUGAAUUUCGUGAUCAGAGGAUCCCCAUCCUGAGCUUAGGAGAGGAUCCUCUUCCCAUGGGAACUACCCAUUUUAAAAUUGUUUGCAAAUUUUCCUAUAAGUAGAUAGUAAUGACCUAAUUAAAUAGGAUCAGGAUCCUCUCCUGAGCAAAUAGAGAAGAUCCUUCUAACCGAACCCAUCGGGCUGUUCAAACUUUUUCCAACGGCUACAAUUAUUAUAACUUUUAAAGGCCCCCCAUGUUUGUAGCUGUUGGAUAAAAUUUGAACAGCUUUAUGGGCCAUGUCAGGAGGAUCCUCUCCAUUUGCUGAGGAGAGGAUCCUGAUCCAAUUAAAUAUUUCCCAUGUACAGAGAUACUUGCAUUGCACCUAGCAAAGAUCAGUUUUUUUGUUUGUCCAUCGAUCCACAUCAAACAGAUCAAUCAUCAGAACCAUCCAUCCACAUCAAUGGCUCUUAUGAUAAAAUAUUCUAUCUUUAGAUUGUUGAAGCAAUAUUAAAAAAUAUAAAAAUAACACAAGAAUUUCAAUAAUAAUAAUAAUCAUAAAAAAAAAUUCACAACAUCAAUUAUGUAUGAGAUUAUUAUAAACAACUAAAGAGAAAGUUAGAAAAACUGAUAAACUUGAAGAUCGAGGCUUGUAUAAAUACAUUGUCCUAAAGACAAAAUUUUGCCCCUACUCUUAAUCCGAAGUUGAAGCACUUCAAUAUUCAGAUUCUGACGAAUUUUAUAUUUUCUGUACUCUCAAGACACGACUCGAAAUUUGACAAACGAAAAUUGAGAGAAAUAAAGUGAGGAAACCCUAUUUCUCAAGAGUAAAAAUUAACUCUAAUUUGUAUCUUUAAUGAUAAUGGUUUCAUGGGUUUAUAUAGAACCCAUUGUGUUGUUUGGCGUAAAAAUGCAACUUUGCAUCUAUGUAACCUACACCACUCAUCAAACUACACGUCCCAAAUUACAAAUAAUAUGAUGCAAUUCUUUGUAUCAGAUGCAACACUUAAGAAUAAACAAGAUUAAUUUUUUCAUUCAAUAUUUUGAAAUUAAAUAUUAUAAUAUUUAAUAAAUAUUAUAUUAUAAAUUUUCAACAUUGACUUGACUGUUCGUCCAUCAAUAACAAGUCCACAUCUCAACCCAAAUAUAAUGAUGUCAAAGGAGAGGGGAAAAUGAGAAGGAAACUCUGGAGGGUAGAGGGAAGGAAAAGGAGGGAGAAAAGGAUAAAAGGAAGGAGAGAAAAGUAGAAAAGGAAGGAAGAAAAUGAGAGGAAAUGCAUAGAAAUAAAAAAAAUAAAAAAUGAAAAUCACCUUCAUCAUUAUGUCUACUAAUGGAAAAGAGCAAAAUGCUCCCAACUACUCUUGUUUCUUACAUUGUAAAUUAUAUUUCGUAUAAUGAGAAACUAGUAUUCUUACACAAGGAUGUAGACACAACUUGCCGAAUCUUGUUACUAUACAGCAAGCCUAUAACUGCAUAAUAAUUCGAUCAACCACCUUAAGUUUAACCAUACAUGUACCAAGAUUCAAGUUUUUCCAAACUUUCCUUAUGAAACUAAUUGAACAGUACAAGUGCCACAUUAUUAUGCGGUUCUAUCAAGUUUUAAUUUUUAUCUUAUAACCACAUUAUCUUUAGGACAAUCAAUCUUGCAGUUGAAUAUAUAAACCUUCGAGAUGGCGAUAUUGGAAACGCUAGUUGGUGGGUUGAUUGGUAGAAAUGGUUCCAACAAUUCAAGAAUAAGAAAUGAGUAUUGAGCAACGAUCAAAGUAUGUUGUAUUUUAUCACAAAAUAUUUUUGUACAUAUUAGAAGUGCAUUUUAUCACAAAAAGGUGAGCAACGAUCAAUAUAAUUGUAAUUUAUAAAAUCACACAUAAAACGGGAAGUAAUAUUUUAUUUUUGUUUUCAUCUCUGCCAAAGAAACGCUUUUUGGGUCAAUGGAUGGGGACGACCCAUUUUAUAAUUGUUUAUAAAUGGGAAUGACCCAAUUACAUAUUUCCCCUGCUCACAGACAUUUGCAUUGCACCUAGCAAACACCAGUUUUUUUGUUUGAACAUCGAUCCACUUCAAUGGCUCUUGUGAGAACAUCUCCAGGAACCUCCUCUGAUUCCAACACAUUUCGGCGUUAUCACUACGAUGUGUUCUUGAGCUUCAGAGGCGAAGAAACUCGUAAGACUUUUACGGACCACCUCUACACAGCCUUGAACAAUGCAGGAUUUCUCACGUUUCGAGACGACGAUGAACUCGAGAGAGGAGAAGACAUAAAGCCAGGACUGCAGAAAGCAAUCCAGCUGUCACGAACUUCUGUUGUCGUGUUUUCGAAAGAUUACGCGUCAUCCAGGUGGUGUCUUGAUGAGCUUAUGCUGAUCCUCGAACGAAAUAGGACCACCUCGGACUAUGUAGUUUUACCAGUCUUCUACGAUGUUGAUCCGUCCCACGUGAGGAAGCAGACAGGAAAUGUUGGAAAAGCAUUUGCUAGAAGCCAGAAAAAUCAGUCGCCGGAAAAGGUGGAAGGAUGGAGGAAGGCACUUGCAGAGAUUGCAGACCUAGCAGGCAUGGUCCUACAAAAUCAAGCUAACGGGUAACUUUCAUUUUCUUAUUUUGUCUUCUAUUUGUUGUUGUUGACCUCUCUAAUAAGAUCACAACUAGAGAUGGACAAAAUACCCACGGUUACCCGUGUUGUGCUUUGGCCCGUUCGUCAGUGCAGAAGUGAGAUUCAGAUUAUCUCACUAAACUACAGACCCACAGUUGAACAAUUUAAAUUACAAGAAAUAAAGACACUGAGAAAUUUACGAGAUUCGGCAAAAACCUGCCUAUGUCCUCGGAGAUAUAUUGCUCUUCACUAUGAGAAUAACUAGUACAAGAUACACUUGAGUUCAAUCAACAUAACCCAAACCCCAAUCCCUUGUACACUCACAGAAUUUUCCCAAGAGCCUCACUCUACCCCAAGAGUUUCUCACUCUCACUCUUUAUUUUCUCUCCUUUGUGUUCUCCUUCGGAUGCUCUCUCAAUGCAUUACUAAAUGCACAAAUAUUGCAUCUAGUUAUAGUCAUACACUAGCAACUAUGCCAACAAACAAGACCAAAAAGUCUUAAGUUCACAUGACAUAAUUAUCACCUAGCCUACCUAGCAUACACCAAAGUCUAUAUCUAGUCUAUAAAGUACAACUAUUCUCCAUUUGUCAUUUAAUGCAUAUAAAAUAAAACAUGCACAAUUGUGUGCAAGCAACCACAAAGUCAAGUCUUGCUUCCAACUUUGCUUUUGGUAGUCACCAUGUCUUCUCUUGAAACAAGACAUCCAUGCCACAACCGAAAGCCAAACACAAAGUGGCUACUGCCAUUUCCCUGUAGCACUCAGAAAGUUACACUAUCAAAAUUGUUGCCAACUCAUAAGUAUAUGAGCCAAACACAACAACCCGCCCAUUUAAACUUCACGGUUACUGUUAUGGGUAACCGUUUAGAUAAAUAAACGGUUAUGGAUAUAACCGUUUACCCGUAAAAUUUAAAUAGAUGGUUAUGAAUAUUAAUCGCGGUUAUAAAUGGGUAACCAUUUACCCAUUUAUUUUAUAUAUGUAAUGUUGAAUAUUUUAAAAAUAAAAUUUUAUAUGUAUAUGCGGCUAUUUGACAGUAGAUGGGAAGUUAUGUUAUUAACCCAACAAUCACAUCUCUUCAAUUUGAAUGUUGCAUCUUUUGAAUGUUGCCGAUAAGACAUGAUUCAUGGUCAACAAGUGUAAUCCUUCUCCUAACCAUGUUCUCUGUCGGACAAAACUUAAAUCAAUGCUAAUAUAAUGUGGCUCAUUAUAUAUAUUAUGUUAAUACUUUACAUUAUGGGUUAAAUAACCCAAGAAUACUAUCUUCUAAACAGUUUUCGUAACCCAAGAAUACUUAGCAAAUAUUAUAUUACUUUCAUUGGUAACAGUUAAAAAUAUCGUCCGUAAACUAUUAUUUCAAUUUUGAAAUGCUAUAAGGACUUAAAAAAUUAAAAUACGGAAAUGUAUGAAGAAUGUUACCUAUAACGGUGUUUAAUUGUCAAAAAAAAGAAAAUUAUGACAAUUUUUUUUUUAAUUUUCAAGUUGUUAAAAAACAUGUAGAUGGGUGAAAAUGGGUAAUGGCAAAAAAAAAAAGAGAAGAUAAACGGGUUAAAAGGGUAAAUGGGUAAACGGGUAUUAAACGGUUACAGUUAAAUAGGUAUGCGGUUAUGGGUAUGAGUAUAACCGUUUAGGCAAUUACCCAACGGAUAAACGGUUAUGCGGGUAUGAGCAUAAACGGUUAUGGGUAAAUAACCGUGGUUACCCGCCCAUCAUAACCGUUGCCGAUCACAACCAUGGAAGAAAAUAUCGAUAAUAUCGGCGAUAUAUCGCCGAUAUUAUCGGCUUUUUCCCGAACUGAUAUUUUAAAUGGUAUCCAAGGUGUUUUCGUCAUAAUAUCGCGAUAAUAUCGAUAAUAUCGCGAUAUUAUCGAUAUUAUCGCGAAAUUUCGGAACUGUGCACGUCGGAGACAAACGUCGGAGCUUCUACAGCUCCGGCCGACUGUAAAACUGCUCCCUAGCCUCGCCGGAGAUGGGUGUACUUAUUCCUGAGUCGAUUUCAUCCCAAAAACCUUGCAAAAACACGACAUAUAACUUCAAUUUCACAUCUAAGCUUCGAUCUAGAAUAUAAAAAGAAAAACCCGAAGCUUACCUACCUGAGAAAUUGAAGGAACUCGCCAGAGCAGGUGCGAUGGUGUGCGUGUGGGUCUCGGUGCAGAGAGAAGAGAGAUCUUUGUGUGAGUGUGUGUGGUUGGACUGGGAGAAGGGAGAAGAGAGAUCGAGAGAUCUCUGUGUGAGUGUGUGUGUGGUUGGACUGGGAGAAGGGAGAAGAGAGAUCGAGAAGGAUCUCUGUGUGAGUGUGUGAGUGGUUGGACUGGGCGAAGGGAGAAGAGAGAUCGAGAAGGAUCUGUGUGUCGUUGAAGAAUCCCCAACCUUUAAGAGACAAACCAGCAAGCACCUCCCUCGACCCACCUCGUUCCUCCGCCGCAAACCUACCCCGUGUCCUCAUCUAACUUCUCUCCUCUGUCAACCCACCGCCGUUCCACUAUCAACUUCACCGGUAUUCCUCCGUCGGCCCCGCUUCCGCUCCCGCUUCCGCCUCGUCCUUCAACCUCUCUCCUCCAUCGAAGUAGGUCCAUAAGAAUUCAUGAAAGGGAGGGGAUCUUUGUUCUUGGUGUAUAGUGUGACGACGCUGCACUGAUACAAAUCUGUGAUGGCAUAGGAAAAGACAAGGACGAUGCAGGAUGGAGCAGAGAGGAAGUGAAAAUGGAUUAUGGGGUGUUUGGAUGCCUAGGUAAUUGGAUAAACAGGGUGUUUGGCUGCAUAGCUUAAACAUAUAAAGUAGUACACAUGUUCUCUUUUAGUUGAGCCAUAUCAAUGGUCAAUGAAAAUUGGGUACCCACUUGUGAGUACCAAGUAUUAUCCGUGGACGGGAGACUUAAACAAACAAAACCAUUGGCUUUGAUGUUUGUAACUUGUAAUUAUGAGGUGGACAGGUAACGUGAAAGAGGUGAGGUGCACCUCUGAUGGUUUUAACUUUUAAUAAAUGUUAUAUAAAUUAUAAAUUAUAAAUUAUUUAGAUAAUAUUUUGUUUUUUUUACUAAGCAAGCAGAUUAUAUUCGAACCCUCCCUUUGUCAACCACGCACUUAGGCUUUAUCCAACUCGCUACAGAUGUGUUUGUGAUUACAUAUUCAGCCUGUAAUAUUUAUAUGGUCGUUAAGAUGUCUGCAAGGCUUGCAAGCUAAUAUUUAUUAUCUAGGAUAAAUUUCUAUAUUUUAAAAAACACAAAGGUGAAAAUUUUGAACCUCAUAGGAACUCUAUGUGGUACUAAGUCACUCAUGUAUCUUACCAUGCAAUGUAUAAAGUGUAAAAUAUUGUACUAAUUCAUUAUAUAUAAAUGAUUAUGGUGUGUUUAGACUUCUUUCAUUAAUUACUACAUAUUUUAUACACUCACAAUGUUUGUCAGCUCACUAUAUAAUCAACUUGAUAAUGUUAAAUCCAUCAUGCAAUGCAUUUCCUUCCAAUUUUUUGUGAUAAACUAAUAGAUAAUUGAUUAAAUAAACAUCCUGCAAAGUUUCAAUAAAAAUUUCCAAGUUUUUCUUACAAUUUCCUUGGUUUCCAUGUAAUUUUUAUCGAUAUCGAUAUUAUCCCGAUAUUUCCAUCGAUAUUUCCGUGUUUUCGGACUACCGAUAUUUCCGAUAUUACCAAUAUUUUCUUCCUUGAUCACAACAUAUUGAUUUACUCAACACAAAUGUUCAUAUGACUUCAGGUAAAUUGCUCCAGUAAUAAUCCCAUUUCAGGUCAAUUAAGUUGUCAUGAUCUGUACCAUGUAGCUGCAUGGAAUAGCUGUUAAGAAUUAUUGAUCGAACCUUAGUUUAAUUUUCUCCUCUGAAUUCCAUGAAUAUCAGACUUUGUAUAAUUGAUUGAUAUCGAGUGAACAACAUGUUUGAUUCAUCAUUCAUUUUAUUUGCAAAUUCUUAGGUACGAGUCAAAGUUUAUCAAAGAUAUUGUUAAAGUGAUUAGUGAUAAGCUAAGUCGCACACACUUGAGCGUUGAAUCAAAACUGGUUGGCAUCCAUUCUCGAGUCGAACCCAUCAAUUUAUGGUUACAAGAUCCAUCACAUGAUGUUGGUAUACUUGUUGUUUAUGGGCUGCCUGGAAUAGGGAAGACAACCAUUGCAAAAUGUGUUUACAAUUCAAACUUUGAAAGUUUUGAAGGAAGCAGCUAUGUUGAAAGUAUCAGAGAAACUGCAAGUCAUCCAGACGGCUUAGUUCAAAUACAAAAGCAAAUUCUUUAUGAUAUUUUAAAUGGGAAAAAGGAGAAAAUACACAAUGUUAGUGAGGGAAUAAUUAAGAUUGGAAGAGCCAUAAGCUUUAGAAGAGUUCUUCUUGUUCUUGAUGAUGUGGACCAUGUGGACCAAUUAGAUGCAGUACUGAGGAUGAAAGAUCAGUUUCAUCCUGGAAGUAAAAUAAUCAUAACAACUAGGCGUGAAAGGUUGAUAAAGGCACAUGAAGGUAUUACGGUGCAUGAAGUUGGACCUUUGGGUUUCGAUGCAUCAUUGGAGCUCUUAAGCUGGCAUGCUUUUGGCCAGGAUCAUCCCCUUGAAGGUUAUGAGAAAUAUUCUGAAGAAGUCGCACAACACAGCGGAAGACUUCCAUUAGCACUCAAAGUUUUGGGUUCUUCUCUUUUCGGGGAACCUAAGCGUGUAUGGAAAUGUACAUUGGAGAAGCUAGAGGUUAUUCCAAAUGGUGAAAUCAUGAAUAAUUAAGAAUAAUCUACGACUCUUUACAAGAUGACCAUGACCAGAAAUUAUUCCUCCAUAUUGCUUGUUUCUUUAUUGGAAAGGAUGAAGAUUACAUUGUCAGAAUACUAGAUGGAUGUGAUUUCAAGACAAUCUGUGGCAUUCAAAAUCUCAGAGAUAGGUGCUUGGUGACAAUUGUUAUGGACAAGUUGUAUAUGCAUGAUGUGAUUCGUGACAUGGGACGAGAAAUUGUUCGUCGAGAAUCACAUGAACCUGGGAAUCGUAGUAGAUUGUGGCGCUCUAAGGAUUCUUUCAAAGUAUUGAGAGAAAAAAAUGUAAGAAAUGUUCAUUGUAUGUGUGUGUUUCUUUUUCUCUUGUGCUAAUUAACCAAUUGUUUUUCCAAUUUCUUGUAUAGGGUACGCAAGCAAUUGAAGGUCUUAUGUUGGACAUACAUGAACUGCUUACAGACAGUCCCAUAAACUCAAACGAGAAUGUCUUGGAAACCAAUUCAUUUGCAAGGAUGCACAAACUCAAACUGCUCUAUCUUAGACAUGUACGACUGGACGGAUGCUAUGCAGAACUUCCGACAAGGUUAAGAUGGUUGUGCUGGCCCGAAUUUCCUUUGGAUUCAAUUCCUGUUGAUUUUUCUUUGGAGAAAUUGGUAGUUCUUGAAAUGCAAUAUGGCAACUUGAGACAACUCUGCAAAAGAGCAAACGUAUGUUACUCAACGCUUUUCAAUUUUGUUUUCCUUCUUUCUUUAGGUUUUAAUUCUUUAAUUAAUUUUAUAUGUUGGAAUCAAUUCCUAGUUAUUUUUGUUUGUUUGUUUAUUUUUAUUUGUUUCUAGUUUCUUCCAUCAUUGAAGACCCUUGAUGUCAGCCAUUCUCAUGGCCUUAGUGAAACCAUGGACUUCUCACCUUGCCCCAAUCUAGAGGAAUUGAUUCUUGUGGAUUGCACCAGCCUGAUUGAUGUUCAUGAAUCCAUUGGAAACCUGGAGAGACUCGUGUACUUGAAUAUGAAGGAUUGCAAGAAUCUUAGGAUGCUUCCGAAGAACAUGUGUUUUCUUAAAUCACUUGAAACACUCAUUUUAUCUGGCUGCUCAAAUCUUGAUGAGUUUCCAGUGGAGAUGAAGAAGAAGAUGGAGUCUCUGAAAGUUCUUAAAAUGGAUGGAAUUCCAAUAAGAGAAUUAUGGCCAGCAAGAAGUUCAAGUAUCUUGAGUUCUUUUCCAUGCUCUUUAGUAAAGUUAUGUAUGGUGGGGUGCAAUCUUUCUGAUGAUGCCUUCUGUAGGGAUUUAAGUAGUCUAUCCUCGUUGCGAACACUAAAGUUAGGUGAGAAUCCAAUUUGCUGUCUGCCAGGUUUCAUCAAAGGUUUGAGAAGGCUCGAUCAUCUAUCUUUCCAGGAUUGUAGUAGGCUCAAAUCGCUUGUGGGGUUGCCGAAAGUACACCGAAGGAUAAGUAUAGCCGGAUGCAUAUCAUUAGAAAAAAUGACUUUUCAUUCCCCUGAGCAACAGUCUACAAUGUUCAGCGUGGGUGACAACUGGAAUCUAGUUGAGUGGCAGUACGACUACAAGUUAUAUGUGGAAAUGAUCAAACUUUUGGGCGUGUGCAACUUGGGAUCCUUGCCAGCCAUUAGAAUGAACGCACUGUUCGGAUGCGGUGGUUCAAAAGAGGGUAAAUGGAGUCCCGUCCAGGUGCCUCUCUCUCUCUCUCUCUCUCUCUCUCUCUCUCUCUCUCUCUCUCUCUCUCUCUCUCUCUCUCUCUCUCUCUCUCUCUUAUAAGUCAUUAAUAUAUCAUGGGAAAGAAAUAACUGAGUAAUGUUGUGAUGAUCGUGGCAAUUACAUAGGGACUGUAUGAAAAUGGUAUAUUCAGCACGUUUUUUGUUGGGAAUAAGGUUCCAGGCCAAUUCAGCUAUAAAAGUACCAAGUCUUCGAUAUCUUUUAUUGUCCCUUUACUACUUGCUAAUCACAGAAUUCGAGGCUUGAACAUCUUUGCUACUUAUGCAAAGGAGCAGAAUUAUAAUAAUUCUUUUAAUCCAAUAAUGACUAAAGUGAGUAACAAGAGUAAGGGUCUGAAGUGGAUCUAUGGCCCAGAGUUCUAUGGAAUUCCAGGAGAGGGAGAACAUAUGAUAUGGUUGAGCCAUUGGAAGAUGGAUAAUGAAACAAUAUUACAAUGUGGAGAUGAAGUGCUUGUUUCAGUACACAUGAGACCUAGUCAGUUUCAGCUCAAGGAGUUUGGUGUCGAGCUUGUGCAAGAGCACCAAGACAAGAUGAGUACCCAACACAACACCAAAUCAGGUCCUAAUUAUCCAUUUGUUAUCGGUGGAGAUUUGGAUACGUGGAAGUGCAGACCGGGAAUAUACUUCCUUGGCAGUAGGACAAGAGAAGAUACUGACGACAUUGAUAUCCUCACCAUGGACUGUGAUGAAGAAGACACAAGUAUGUUGUGUUGUUGUAUUGCAUUGAAUUAUACUUCAUCCAAACACUUCCAAGUGUGUCCGUAUUCAUUUCAAAAACAUUUCCAAUAAGUUUUAUGUUAUUUGUAUGUUUUUCAGCCAAAGAAGGGCAAGAGAAUGAACCUGAUUACACAAUUGCAAAGACGAGGGUUGCUAGCAAAAACUGCAGUCUCGAACGCUGGAAGGUGCUCCUCACAACUGCUGGCUUCUUUUUCACGCUUGCUCUAGUAGUUCAGUCCUCCAUCUCCCAGAAACUGAAGCGACAGUAGUCCACAAGGCUUCCAUGAGUUUAUAAUUUGACUUGAUAUAGAUAUAUCUUUACAUUCCUUACUCGCAAGAUGUUUUCUACCUUCAAGUGCAAUGACGGUUCUAGAAUUCAUACAGCCGACCCCAUUUAGUAAAAUAAGACUUUAUUGUUAUUAAACUGUUUGUGCGGUAAGAACUAAGCGUGAAAAAUAUCUUGUUUUGUAGUCUCUGGUUUGAACAUUAAAGAAAAUCCAAUGCCAUUAUGUGUUUAAACCAAAAUUUUCCGUUCUCUUUUUCCUUUUCUUCAAAAAAUAAAUUUGUACUCUAAUGUCUAGGCAUGAAGAGAUUCUUAGCUAUCUCCGGGUAUAUGUCCCUCUAUUUAUUUCUCAUGGAAUACACAACCGGUUACAAGACAGAUUCUCGAAUCUCUCUCACCAUGCAUGAAAGUUCACGUCGAAUUACCAAAUCAUAUUCUGAGAGAGAAUUAAGAAUUACAUGCAGAUUAACAUUAAAUUAUAAGUUUCUAAUAACACAAAUUAUUAUUUAUACAAAAAAAAUUUACAAGAUGUGUUCAUAAUUAAUUGGUAAUUCUGAUCUUAAUUAACUAAAAGGGCCUUGAGGACAUGUCUCAAUGUAUAUGCUUGUCUGUGCAGAUCGUCUUCCUCCUCCUUUUCUUCAUCCACAAGAAAUCAAAGACAUGCCCACAAAAACCCACACACGAAAAACAAAAAAUUAAUAAAAAUAAAAGUCAGCGAGAAAAGUCAAACAAUGCAGAUCUGAUCCUACCCGCGCCACACCCGAUCAAAUCCCGAGAAAAUCAGUGGCGGACCGAGACAUGAUGGUCGCGAAUUCGUUGAAGCUAAUGACGCCGUCGCCGUUCGUGUCGGCCUCCCUCAUCAUAUCGGAGAGCUCCCGGUACGUCAAGGGGUGGCCCAUUUUGGCCAUGGAUCCGGCGAGCUCGGCGGCUGUGAUGUAGCCGUUGCCGUCGCGGUCGAACGACCGGAAGACCUCCAUGAGCUGCUCCUGGUUGAUCAAAAUCUCCUCGUUCAUGUCUGGGAGGAUGGCGGUGACGAGCUCGUCGAACUCGAUGGCACCGUUGCCGUUGGCGUCGAUGUUGGAGAGGAAAACGUGGAGCUGGUCGCCGGUGGGCUUGAGGCCGAGGGAGCGGAGGAGGGCGGCGAGUUCGAGCUGGGUGAGGCUGCCGUCGGAGUCCAUGUCGAAUCGCAUGAAGAUGUCCUUCAGCUGCUUCAGUUGAUCGGAUCCGAGCGCGGCCAUCAUUAGUAUAACGGCGGCCGAGAAGAAGAAGAAGAAGAAGAAGAAGAAGGAAGGGAUCGAGAGAUCCAGACGAUUUGAAUUUUGUGAGAUUUUGGGAGUUUAAUUUCGGGUGGAUUGGGUUUUUUGUGUGUGGCGCUGAUUGGUUUGUGUUUUUGGGUUUUUUUUCGUUUUCGUUUUUGUUUUUUGAGUUUUAAUUUUUCUUGUGUUUGGAUUAAAAGUUUAAAAACUGAAAACGCGUUUUUGCCAAGAGUUGAUCAAUUGCUACGUGGUUAUAUAUUGGGGGGGAUGCUACUUAGGGGCUGUUUGUUGAUUGACUAUAUUCAGGAGAAAUUUUCAAGUGUGUCAAGAAUAUUUUCGGUACAUUAAGUGCCAUAAUACCGUUGAUUGGAAACUUGAAAAAAAAUAUUCUUACCAAUUAUAUCAUGACACUUGAUAUAUCAGUCCGUAUUCCGGCACAAUGAAAAAUCUCUCCAUAUUUAUGACUUAAAUAUGUGUUUUUCUAUUUUGGGAAUAAUGUGUUGAUUUGGGUCUAUUUAAGUUUUGAAGUAAAUUCAACGCGCUGACAUUUGUGAGUUAAGUCAGUUGGUCAAAGUGAUGCAUUUGCUUCUAUGCACUCAAGUUUGAUCUCAAUUCCCAUAGAAGUUAAACUUAUUCUAACGCGUUUAGUCCAAUGUCAACUAAAAUAAACUUUCGAUUAUGCCGGAUUAAUUAAUUGAUUAAUUAACAACUUUUGUUUUAUUUUUAUCAAGAACAUGGCCUAGCUGUGAUGAGUGUUCAAUCAUUUUUAUUUCUUCUUUAAAAAAUGGGAUCAGCAGGUGGCUUUAUCACGAUAAUCUACUUUUUAGAGGCCGAAAAGAUUUUUAGAGUCAUUUCAGGCUCCUCUAGUUACCAUCGUGUGAUUGGAGCUAACAUAAUUAGGUGAAGAACAUUCGAGAUUCAAUGUGUAGAAUCUAUGUGAAAGUGGCAUUUUCUUAGAAUAUGCAGAGAGCUUCAAUGACAACAUAUUUACAAAGUUGACAUAGUUUGGUUGUGUAGACGCGUGACAAUAAAGACUUAUUUGACAUUUAUAAGCAUGAUGUCAUUAUAUUCGAGAUGUAUGAUAAGGUUUAAGAAUCCAAGCCUUUGAUAUAUACCAAGGGAUGCCAUAUAUAUGCAUAACCUUCUUCAACAUUUGUUCCAUUUGAAUUGCGUACAUUUUCAUCAUAAAACGAAAUGAAUGUGCCACAAUAUUUUGAUCAAUGGCUACUAAAACCCAUUUCGAUUAUACCUGUCACUCUACAUUUAUUGUCACGCGACUAAUUAUGUGACAAGAGAUGUCACGUGACUGGAAAUGCAGAGAAAUGAGGAACAUACGAAACAUGUUGCAGGUAAGUUUUUUCGCGAUUGAAUAGCUACCUAGCUUUAUGAUCAAUAGAUGACAGAGCCACCAUUUCAAUCAAGUGAUAUUGUACAAAACUAGUAUCAAAUGGAUCAUGAUUUGGUGAAUGAUGAGUUGGGGAGCAACCCAAUUCUCCCCUACCCCAAAAGCUUCCAAAUCCAAACUCUCCUCUCUGAGAAAACUCCUGCAGCACCUCCUCCACCUCCUCCAUGCAGCGCCUGCAACUAUGUCCUCCUCCUGCCUCCAUGGAUGAUCUCAUGGACUCUCCGACAACACUCGCAAAGUCAACGUCUUUACAUGUAUCCAACACUAUAAUCUCUUUUCUCCUUCUCUGUUGAAGCUUCUUCAUGGUGUACUCUCUCGUCUUUCGGAUCAACUUGCAAGGGAGCUUGUACAAGAUGAAGAUGGUGAUUUGGAGGAUCAAGCACUGGCAGCAGCACGAAAUCACAACGCAGUCUGCGGCAAUCAUGUUGCAGUCUUCCAUGGCUGCGAAAAUCGGGAGGAAAUGGGUGGUGGUGGUGUAGAAAACAGUUUAAAGAAAUCUUCAUGCCCCGGUGGUGGUGGUGUUUAAGGAAUAAGUUCCUUGCCUUUGUGGGAGGUAAUAGGAAGGGUGAAGCAAUUGGAAUGAUAUGUGGCGCUGUAUAUGAGUCAUGACUUCAAUCAUUGUCUAACAUUAAAAAAAAAAAAAAAAAAAACUCUAGCUUCCAAUAGGGGCUAUCCAAUAUAAUCGAAUUUCUUUUUUCAAACGAUAUUCUAAUUUAAUCUAAAAUACGGGAAACAAGCUCAUUCCGUUCUGCAAUAUAUUAAAAUAUUAGGAUGUGAAAGGGAAACAUAAAAGCUGUUGUUGCUUGGCUUCUACUUCUCCUUGGUGGAAGAUUUCUUUGAUAGCUUUAAGCAUUUCCAUAGAAGGUGUCACGGAGCUGUCUUUCAAAGAAAGUUCUCUCCCCCCUCUUGGAAGACUUGCAAAUUUAUAUAUCUGCAAACCCAGUUUACCCCAAAUAUUUUAGCACGUGACGAGUGAGACACUUGUAAGAAUAUAUCCCGGGGUAUACUCAAGAUUUCCGUGUUUCUGAGGAUGAUGGGGCGGCCUGCAGGCUGAUUUAACAAGCUCGAAAUAGAGGGGUACGUAUUUUCGAUCUGAGAUUGUCACAUAUAAAUCACAAAACAUGGAGUUGUGAAAGAGGGGAAGCAAAAGAGGGAAGAAUAGGAUCCAUGGUUAACAAAAUUGAAUUAUUACCUUUAUAACACCACCAAAAAUAUUGGUGGAUGCAACAAGAUCAUCAUACAUAGGCUAAGUAAUUACAGGGGCAAAAAAUGGCGGUCCAUAAACGUAUAAUAUAGGCGGAAGCUAAAAAUGGACCUUCACAGGAACGAUGGAACGAUCUAUACAUCCGCUGCAGUCAGUUCCAGUUGCAGAAAGAUCAGGUCCCAGCUGAGCCAAUCCAAAUCUAGCUCAAUCUGGCAAAACCCCUUUCAGCUAAGUGUUUAACUCUCCGAAUGUGUACUAUACCUCUUCGCUGAAAAAAUCUGUACUGUAAUUUUGACUACCAAAUGCCAUUCUCCGGAACAACCUAAUUUCAGCUGAUUGUUGUGCCGAGUCAAAUGCCUCACUUUCCCCCACUCUCAUUCCGUUGUUUAUAUCGGAAGCAACAAAACUAUCAAAAGCUCUAACAACCUGAGGAGAGUGAGAAUGAUGAUGUUAGCUUAAGCUGGUGAAGUGAAUGAAUUCACAUUAUAAAAAAAUUUCAGCUUCUUAUUACCUGUCCCAUUCGUGGUCUCUUAGCAGAUGAAUGUCGCACACAAGCAGCAGCAAUCUCGAUCAUUCUGAACAUUUCAGUAUCCACAUAAUUCUUUUCGAGCCUUGGAUCUACCACGCCGUCAAAAUCUUCAUUAUCAAGAGCAUAACUCAACAACGGCCGAGCCUGGAUGGUAAAAUGCGUCUCUUGUCAGGAAAGCUUGGGUUUGACCUUAGAACAUUCAGUUGGUUAACUAUACAGUUUUAUUUCAUUCAAUAAACAUAUUGUCAAUUUGUUACAUAUAUGUCUCCUAUGUACAGUCUCACAUCUUUAUUAUGCAUUUAUCUACGUACUUUUGAAAAAAUUGAAAUGAAUUCACAACUAAGGCGAGACUAAAUUGUGCCCGCUGAAUCCAGACAAAUAUUGACAGCAUAAUCAGAGAGUGAAAAAGAUUUCAUGCAUUGAGAUUUCUUUCUGUAAGACGGUUCUGGAGUUUCAAUGCAUUCCUUGUUUAAAAACUAUAGGGCCAGAAGAUCUCACUCAAUAAAUUGGGGACUUCAAAAUAUUCAACCGAAAAUAUCAAAACAUUAUUAUCGAAUUGAAGCAAAGUAAUAUAAACGCUGCAGCAUGAUAUGUCCAGUAUGAAAAGAGGAUGUAAGUUUACCCAUUCAACUAGACUCUCAUCUCCCAAGGGUUGGGAUGUAUCUACAGGCUUCCGUCCAGUGAUCAACUCAAGAAGCACAACUCCAUAAGAGUAAACAUCAGACUUCUCAGUCAAUUUCCCACUUGAUGCAUAUUCAGGAGCCACGUAUCUGAAAAUCAAGCGGAAUCAAUACAUUAUCAGGCAUGAAAGGUAUGUUUGUGAUGACAGUAUAAAUUAAAAUAUAGAAGAAACCUCAAGAAUAGCUUUGAUACAAGUAGAAAGCAUAUGGGCCAACACUAGAUUGCUGACGUACCCAAACGUUCCCAUCACACGUGUGCUUAUAUGCGUAUUUGCAUCAAGCGCUAAUUUGGCAAGUCCAAAAUCUGAAACCUGUAAAGUAAAGAAGGAAACCAUGAGCUACAACCUAACCAAAAUAUAGGAGUACUGAAAUGUGCUCUGAGUGAAAUCAUGCUAUACCCGAGCUUCAAAGUUGUUAUCUAAAAGAAUGUUUGACGACUUUAUAUCCCUGUGAAUAAUUCGAGGAUGACCUGACAUUAAACAAAUAAAACCAAACUUGGUCAACAAAACACUUCCAGUUAAAUUAUGUAACCGAUAAAACAAUUGUACGAGGAUAUAGUAACCCAAACAUUCAGCUAUCAGAAUCCAGAAACUCAGGGUAGAUAAUUACAAUCUUCAUGAAGAUAAGCGAUCCCACGAGCUGCACCAGCAGCAACCUUAACACGUGUCGCCCAGUCCAGAACUGGCCUACCUUCUCCUGAAAAUUGCAAGGUGCAAAACAUGAGAUUACGGAACCAUUAUCACUAACUGUUACUUAAAAGCUCUGUUAUAGAUAUACCAUGAAGAUGAAAAUAAAGGCUAUCGUUAGCAACAUAUUCAUAGACGAGCAGCCUUCGAUUAUCAGAGAUGCAGUACCCAACCAGAGAAACCAAAUGGCGGUGAUGUAUGCGACUAAUAAUCUCAACUUCAGCCUUGAAUUCUCGCUCACCCUGACCCCCUCCAAUUUUUAGUUGUUUUACUGCCACCUCUCUCCCAUCUGGUAGGCAUCCCUUAUAAACACAACCAAAUCCGCCUUCGCCCAAAAGAUUCUGAGAUGAAAAACCAUUUGUGGCCUUAGCUAGUUCUUCAAAAGUAAACCAUGGUCUUGAAUUUCCAACUCCUGCUUGUUCUGGUGGAGGACUCAUGAACUCACUGCCAGAACGGCUUCCAACAAGGGGAGCUGAAGAAUGUGCCUUCAAGAAGGAUGAAUCUGGAAACAAGUUACAAAAGCCUUCUUAAAUACAACGGCUUAUAUGAGCUGAUUAAUUUAUCCCAUACCCUGAUCUGAGUGAGGCUAAAUAUACUCUUAAAAUAGUAUGUUGAACUUAUUGAAAUUUAGAAAUAUCAUUAAACAGAAAAUCCCACAUUCAUAAUAACAAAACAAGGAAUCAACUGCGUUAUGUAUGAUUGAAGGUACCUGAUCGUGGAGAAGAAUCCAUAGUGGAUUGCAUAGCAUAACCUUCAAACCCGGAUACUUUUUUCUUUUGCCUCCUCAUGCACCAUACAAUCAACCCAACGAGACUAAGCACUACUGCCCCUACCACUACUCCAAUCGCCACUAUGCCUCCGGUACCAAUGCCGUUGGAAUUUGAACUUUGUGGUGCAUUCGGACUGGAAGUGUUUGUUAGUGGACUUGGAAUUUGAGAAUGAACUGGUGGAGAAGCCUGUGAGGGGGGAGGUGGUGACAUUCUUAUGAUGGGUGGUGGAGGUGAAGGGGUUGGUUGAGAACCAGGUGGGGCUGGAGUAGUACGGCUAGGAGGCGGGGGUGCUUUUCUGGGAGGUAUUGAUGCUGGUGGAGGAGAUGAACUUUCAGGGGGGGUUGAUGCUGGUGGUGGAGGUGAACUUUCACGGGGGGUUGAUGCUGGUGGUGGAGGUGAACUUUCACGGGGGGUUGAUGCUGGUGGUGGAGGUGAACUUAUGGGUGGCACAAUUGCUGGAGGUGGGGGUGAAUUCGGUGGUGGGUCUGAUGGUGACGGUCGUGGUGAAGUUUUGGGGGGACUUGAUGGAGGUGGAGGAGACUUCUCAGGUGGCGGUGAAGUUUCAGGCGGCUUUGAAGAGG